UUUUGGACCCAGACUUGGAGAAAAACGCUGAUACUGAAGAGCUAACUAGGAUAUGCAGAGUUGCUUGCUGGUGUGUCCAAGAUGAGGAAACUCACAGGCCAACGAUGGGGCUGGUUGUUCAAGUACUCGAGGGGUUGUUGGAUGUGAACCUGCCCAGGAUACCGAGAGCCCUUCAAAUGCUUCUUGAUAAUCAGGAGCAUGUAGUUUUCUUCACUGAGUCGUCAUCAUCGAACCAGAAUUCCCAGACGAAUAGUAACACCUCAACUUCUUCCUUGCAGAACCCAAAUAGUUCAUCUUCGACGAAGUCUGAGUCUUGAGGAUGAUAAGAUAAACGCUUAGUACAAGAAGUGCUUCAGUUAGAUAGUGCAUAUGCUCCUCUGCUUUUUCUGUAGUCAAGAGCGAAUCUCAGCAUUUGGGGAUUGGCUUUCUUGGGGCUUUUUCCCCUAGCUAUUUAUGUUGCACAUAGAUACAAGCAAGCUUGGAAUAAGUGCGCGGCCAGACCAGUUGUAAAGACCCUUCAUUCUAUAUAAUGAUCUGUUGUCUGCUUUUUGAGAUCCCACGUGACAUUGGUAGUUAGCAUCUAAAACUGUCAUCUCCACUUUCAAAUGAUUUUGGCACUGGAAUCUGGAUCUAACGUAUCAGUAACUCCUAGCUUGGAUUGCGGCUGGUGUCUCAUCGUUCUCGAAUGUGCCCUCAUUGCAUGCAAAGUAGGCUAUAAGGCUCGGCAUUUCUCAGUAUAAAUUCCUCUUGCUAGCUACUUUGUUUAUUUAACGAGUCACGGUAUGAAAAUCGCCCUUAAAACUAUGACUUGCUAGGACAGGGAUAUAUAUGCGGAUAAUUUCCAGCUAGCAGAUCCUUUUGUUGGAGCUGUAGGAUGUUAAUGCCCGUCCCAUUUUUCACAUGACAUUCAUAUCUCUUCUAAAGUUGAGUUUUCAUGAAUCGCCCCAUAACUUUAUGCUUCGAAUAUGUGUUAUGCUAGAGAUUACUCGAACCUUUUAGCAAAACUAAUUUUAAAGUGAUGUAUGAGACUUCUGUUGGGUGCUUCCAUUCAUUUGUUUAUUGCUUACCCUUUAAUAUUUGUGACAUUGCUUUACAAGUUUUGUAAAACCAAAUUCAUUAUCUCAACAUUGCUCGUUAAAAAUCUCCACUGUUUGUUCAGGUGGGAAAUUUAUUGAGUUCUCAUUUCAAUCAGGUUGAUCCAAACAGUAUUUUCCAUUGCAGUGGGAAAUUGUUUUGGAAGGCCUAGCUUUGAUUUUCAGUUCAUAAUCCAUCCAUAUCAAGGCUAAUCCAGUGGGCCUUUGCAGUACCAUAAUCCCCUCAGUUUUUCCAAGCUUCCCCUCAUUUGUUUUUCCUUUCUACCAUUUGCCACUUUUUAUUUUCCUUUUUCCCGUACACAAUUCUUAAAUACUUUCGAUCUGACUAUCGUUUCACUUUUCUUGCUGCACUUAUUUUACUCUAAUCGUGGAUCCUUCUCUGGUGCUAUAGGUGCUAUUAAGAUGUCUUAACUUCCUUCAGCAAUAAAAAAGGGUGUAAUCUGCUUAUAUCUUUAUUUAGUGGUGUUUCUACAAAGUCAGCGCUAUCUAUGAUCAUUUAUUCGAAUUUGAGUUACCGAAACAAAUCCGACUAAGAGGAAUUGUAAGAGACUAAGUCAAUUAAGGAAAUUCCUAAAGCCGGAUAUUUGUGGAAGUCGGGAAUGGAAAUUUAGAUUUCAUAUUUGGCGUCGGAGUCCAAUGUGCAUAUUUGGACCUUAAGUUGCCGAUUUGAUAAUCAAAAGACCAGAACUUGUAGAUUACGAAAAUUAAUUUCUGCAUGGGAGUCGGUCAACACAACAACAGAAUAAGAAAGUUCGGAGUUGGACUUAGUUUCCUUUUUCAAUCAGUCAAUUUGGCUAUUAUAAACGGAAUAAUACUACAAAAAAUUUGAAAUUGAUAUACUUAUGACAAUUUUAUCUAAAUCUAUUUUUUUUACCACAAAAAACUCAAAUUUGUACAUCUAUCAUAAAUUUACCUCAAACUAAUUAUUUGACCAUUAAAAAAAUCCUAAACUAGUACAUUUGUAACAAAUAAAGGGUAAAAUCCCAAAUUGAUACAUCCGUCAAUUAUCAUGUGUCAUCCAAUUCAGCAAUUUGAUAGUAACAUUUCAAGGAAACUAACGGGGGGGGGGGGGUAAAUUUGUUACAGAUGUACCAAUUUGAGAUUUUUGGCUAUCAAAAAAUUAGUCUUAGGUAAAUUUUUCACAAAUAUAUAAGUUUAGAAUUUAUUGUGAUAUUAAUCCUAUAAAUAAAUAUUGAGUUGUGGGUUACUCCGUUGGUUAUGAACAAAUAUUGAAGCGCGGUUUUGAGUGAGUGUCGCGGGAGUGAAAUAUUUGUGAGUGACAUCCCAUUGGUAUUAGGGGCUUGGCAGCGGGCUCUUUGGGGAAUUACUUCAAUAGUUUAUAUGUUGAACUUAGUUAAAUCUUGUGAUAAAAUUGGUUUGAUAUUUUGGUGAGAUUGAGAGAUUAUUUUGUGAGAAAUUGUGAGACUAAGUACUAUGUGAAAUAUUAGGUGUAAUUGGAGUUUGGAAAACAUUAGAGUAUUUAAGUAACUCAAGUGUAAUUGUAAUUUACGUAGUAUGGCUUGAUCUAUCAUGGAAUUCUUUACUACUCUCCCACGAAUGCAAGACACAACGAUCAAACCAUAAAAUCCGAUAUUUGUUAUUUUCAUGUUUGUCUAUUUUAUUGUUCGAUCACUUAGAUUCCACAAUCAUUUAAGAGAUCAAGGCAUUGAUAAAUGAUCUCUCAACUUUUGCUCAACAAUCAAAGUCAUUCCUUUAAUUUUUUAAAGGGAAAAAUUCACAAAAAACUCCGAAUUUUGUCCACUAUGGCAUAUUUACCUAAACUACUUUUUGUGACACUAAAAAUCCUAAAUUUGCACAUGUGUGACACAUUUAGCUUAAUUUUUUCAAUAAUUGUAAAAAUUUCAAACUUAUAUUUGUGUGACACAUUUACCCCAAAAAAAUUUUGUGACACCAAAAACCACGAUUUCUUCUACGACACGAAAUUUUAGGGAUAAAUAUGUCAUAAGCAUAUAAAUUUGGAGUUUUUGGUGUCACAAAAAAAAUUAGGAUAAAUGUGUGACAAUGGAUAUAGUUUAAGGGUUUUGGUGAUUUUACCCUUUUUAUUUUAUAUGAAACUGUUCUUGCACAUAGAGUGCCAUUGGUCGUCCUUUUGUUGAAACACUUCUAGCUAUUUUCUAAUGUGAACUUUUAAUUUAUUUGUUGAUGUGGAUUUUUUUUUUUUUUUUUCGUUUUUACAAAUGUCGACCUCAUUUGGUUCAAUUUUGGGCAAAUGUCUUUGGGAAAAUGCAAAUACAUUUAGACUAAAAAGGCCUUUCGAAAUACAAAUAGUGUUUGGUAAAUUAUAAUUUUAAAAUGUAUUGCAAAACAACUUUAACUUAAAUGCAGUUUGGUAAAAACUACAUUUUGCAUAAGACUUUUAUUAAUUUUUUUUUUAAUCUAGCCACCGACGGCUAGAUCUAGCCGCCACCAGCCUCACCUGAGAUCAUGCAACCCCAGGCAACGCCUAGAGUUCGCAACCUAGGUGGCCGUUUGGGUCGUGACGCCCUAUGAAGUACGGACACGUUGUCUAUGCUUCCGUGUCGUGUCCAACACGUGUCGGAGGGUGUCGGACACAUCGACACGUAGUCAACACAUGUCAUAUUUUCCGACACGCGGUCAACUUUUGCCCGACACGUUUGGACAUGCGUGUCCGGUAGACGAUGGAGGGUGGAAGCAAUGGUGAGGAAGCAGAGACGAGGCCACAAGUGACAGCGAGCCCGCGGCGGUGAGAGACGGCCAAAGAAAGAGCAUAGAUUGAGGCGAGGGCCACCAUUGUGAUGUUGCAAUGGAUCCGAUGAGGCUGCAGCUGUGAGGGAGAAGGCCCGAAGGCGAGAGGAAGAGGAGAGGAAGGCGGUCGUGCGAUGAGGAGGAGAGGAGAGGAAGGGGGUCGUGCGGCGAGCGGCGAGGAAGGAGAAGGAUCGAGAGGAGGAGAAGAGGAAGGGUUGUGCGGCAAGCAGCAAGGAGGAGGAGGUAAAGCUAGGGUUUUUUUUUAUAGGAAACUCAAAAGUAAUUAAAAAAGGGGAUGGCCAUCAUGUAUUUUGGGGGGAGGGGAAGUGACGGGAUAGCCUGUCUGUCAGUGGUGGGAAAAAGAAAGUGGUGGGAAAUGGAGAGGGAAAGAAAAAUAAAGUGGGGGGAAAUGGACGACGGUGGGGAGGGAAAGAAAAAUAAAUUUGGGGGAUGGACGAGGGAAAUAAGAUUUCUUUGUUAUUUGGAAAAAUAAAUAAAUGAGAUUAAAAAAUAAUUUUGAAAAAUAAAAAUAAUGAAUUUGAAUUAAAUUAAUUAAAAAUAAAAAUAUUUAUUUAAUAUACAACGUGUCCCAACGUGUCGGAAUUCUCUAUUUUUAAAAAAUGACGUGUCGACGUGUGGUGUCAUAUCAUGUCGUGUGUCCAUGUCGUGUGUCGGUGCUACUUAGGUGACGCCUAGGUUUGCACGGCCCAAACGCCUGCCUAGAUCACAAACUCCAAGCAACCAUUGUGACAUCCUGAUUUUUAGGUUCUGUUUUCGAUUGAAUAAGUUGAGUCUUUCAUCGACGCGCUUAUAGUGCUAUUCUUUGGGAUGGUCACUCACGAGAUAACUAUCAUAUCCGGUGAAGUCGUUAAGGGAUUUUAACGCAAUAGAUUUGAGAAUUCGACCAGAAAUCGACUGCUUGACCGUGCUAAUUUGCAAGGGUCAUUGCAGCAUUAUCAAAAUCGAUUAGAGAUCAGGGAUAUGUCGAUUUGAGUGAGAUGUGUGAUCAAAGUGUGGAUGAUUCCACCUGAUUGCAAAAUUCUCGUCGAUUGGCAUUAGACCAAUUUUCUGUCGUUUUGGGUAUCAUGUGCUUGUAUUUGAAACCUUGAGAUUUUCACGACAAUCGAGAGUCGCCAAUAAGUCAACGAUGUACAUUGUGACUCGAGAUAAAUCGAUCAUUGGUCAAUUGUAUCAAAAAUUCUUGAAAUCUACUCGAUAAGUUAGGUCAUGCUAAAAUCGCGUUAGAUUGAAAUUAAUCGUGAAUUUAAACCCGAUUUUAGAAAUUAAAAGUUCUAUCAUGUCGCGAUUUAUUUUAGAGACGUCGACUCAUCUUUCGAGGAAUUUUCGGCGAGUUCGAAAUUUUUACGGAAAAUCAAUUCAAACGAUUCGAAAUCGAAAGGAAAUUCUGAGGGGCCAAAUUAAGUGGACGUUUGGCCUCCUUAGUGAGCUAUUUGGCGGAGGGAAGUUGUGGAUUUUGUGUGGGCUUCUUCCCCAGCAAAAUUGGAUAUCAAAUUGAAGAAAUGAAAGUCCAAUUGAGUGAAAUUCGUAGGCAUGGGGGCUGCAACUUAUGGACACCAACCUAACUAUUUGUGGAAUUUAUGUGCAUAAAAGCUUGGGGGACAUUAGGGAUGUGCAUGAGAGCUUGUGGGACCAAAACUUGGUGAAUAUAAAAUAUUUUAUCUAAUUUUUCCCCUUCCCCUCCUUCGUUCCCUCCAUUUCGCACGUCUCUCUCUCUCUUUCUUUUUCUUAUUUUCGCAUGUCCUCCCCUGCUGCCAACAAAACCCCCUGCAGCAGUCUUCAUUCAUGUUUUUAUCCUUUGACUUUCGGACCCCCCUCCUUAUCCAUCCACGCACGUCUCUCUCUCUCUCUUCCAAAUCUUUCUGCACGUUCUUUUCUUCUCCCCCCCCCCCCCCCCCAAAGCCGACAUCUCUCUUUCUCCUCCCUGCUCCUUCAUGCGGCCAACUCCUCCACGCUCUCUCUCCCUCCACCGAACCCCCUUCAUUCUCCAUUUUUGCGCCAGCGUUUCCCCCCAUUUCCCUGCCACAUGUCCGUCUCCUUCCCCCUUUCUCUCCCCCGCAGCUACCACAAAAGCCAACGACUUCGGUCAACUCUUGGCGCCUCCUCAUGUGUCCAUCUCGCUACAACGCCAACACCACCGAAGUCCUUCACGCCAGCAGCCCCUUCCGGUUGUUUGUUCAGCCAGCUCAGCCCAUCUAGCAUCCACGAGCUCAACAGCCCGCGUCUCUUCAAGUUCCAGCCGCCAGCUUCGCAUCUUAGCCCAGCCGCAGCCCCGUGUCCAGCCCUCAACCCCUGAACCAGCAAUGGGCAGAACUGAAGCAACCCAUUCAGCUCAAUCGUGAGCUUUGCGAGGCCGAUUUCAGCCUCGGUUUGGCCUCCUUUGGUGUCACCGCUUCGGAGUUUGUCGUCCGUCUCCGCGUCGUCAUCGCCAUGGACUCACCGGCCCACAUAUCCGGUGAGUUUACUCACUAAUCUCUGCUUAGGGAGUUAAUUAUGCUUAAUAGUUUAUUAGUUUAGAUUAAGCUUGGAUUAUGUGAUUAGUUAGAAUAGAUUAGCAAUUUAAUCGUUUGAUAUUACAUGUUAGGUGGUUAGAGUAGUGUAAUUAGCAAGUAGAUAGGUCGUAUUAUUUAUUUAGAUAGGUUCUUAUAUUUUCUAGGCCCGUUUCGGUAUUUAAUUAGGCUUUUCCGGCCUAAGUUUAUAUUUAUGGCAUUUAUUUGUAUUUAUUUAAUUAUUUAUUAUUUUUUGGAAAUUAUAACGGGAUAACCGAUGGCCGGAAUUUCGUGCUGAUUGUAAUGGUGUGUUCAGUUUAUUUAAUUGAAUGCUAGGUUGUGCAAAUUGAGUGAGAAUUAUAAUUUUGGGUAUUUAUUCCAAAAUUGAGUAAUUUCGAUAUUUAAUUGGAAAAUACUGGGCGUCGGUCUACAUCACCAAAAAUGUGAUUAUGGAUUAUUAUGACUAGUGAGAAUUUCUAAAGGAAAGAUAUUGAGGUUUUGACUCAGGCCAACCGUGUACCCACACACGACUAUUUUAUUGGGUAUUUUCAAUGUGGGGAUUUAUUAGCUUGAGUGAGCUAAGGUCGUUUUAUCAGCUUGAGUGAGCAUGAUAUAUAAUUAUCAACUUGAGUGAGCUAUCUAUUUAAAUAUCAACUUGAGUGAGCUAAGAUCAUAUUUUGCAACUGUCAUGAAUAGUGAUAGUAUCAGAGGAUAAAGAUAUGUGGUAUUGAAAGGAUAGAUAGUACGGUUGAUGUGGACUUGAGCUAAUUGACUGGUUGAUCGAUGGUUCGAUUUGAAUUGAGUAGAUUGGUUGAGUUUCUGUACUAUAUUGAAUUGCAGGAAGAAACUAAGGCAAAGGUAAGUCAUCUAUCUUACGUGUGCCUGGAUAGCCUUUAGGCAUAUUUCCUUCCUAGUCGGAGCAUAGGAGGUGAACUUGCUGAGACAUCGUCUCACCCCGUUGUGGGAUAACAUUUAUAGGUCCUUAAAUGAUUGUGCCACCCGAGCGUUUUGGCCAAUCGAAGAAGGUUACCGAGAAGCAUUCUGAGAUUCCACUCCCUAGGAGCCAAGAAGCCUGGGUCUAUGAACUCGUGAGAUCCACUGUCUGGGUUGAUGUGAGUCUACCCCAUAAGGUACCCCAUAAAUUCAUAUCGUGGUAUUGUCAUGGGCGAAAUGGACCCAGAGAAGGCCCUCUUUUGGAGUUUGAGAUUCCUAGGUCGGUGUUGGAGAUCGCUUUUGGUAAGGGGAUGACCGACCCUCCUGGUGGUUCAGAGGUAGACUUGGAUCCUUUAGAUCCAGAGUCCCCGGAGUAUUCAGUUGAAGACUCGAAUGCUUAAAGGAUCUGUAGCCCUCUACCCUCCCCUUUUUGUAGACCUUGUAUAUAUAGGCUAAUAUUGUAUAUGACAUAGUUUGAUAUAUGUAUAUAAGUGUGUUGUGAUUUUGAAAAUCUGUGGCCUUACUUUUCUAUCACAUCCGGUUAUUGUCUAGGGAUUUAUUUAUUCGCUUCCACAUGCACAUUAAAAUGAAUGGGUUGGCAACGCGUCUUGGGACGUCGCUAUUUAAUCGACCAUUGAGGGAUGAGCACGUGCUUGGAGGAUCGGGACGUGACAACCAUCGCCUAGGUCACGCGAACCUAGGCAACCGUCAACUGGCUCACACGAACCGAGGCGACCACCUCCUGAGGUCGCAUGACCUUAGACGGUGGCCGCAACCCUCAAGCGGCGGUUGCCAAGUCCAACGACCCCUCAGGCAACGGUUGCCAGCGCGAGCAACUCCUUGGUCAGUGGUUGUCGGCCUCCAUUUGUUUCCUUGGAGAAGAUGAACAGUACCUAUGGGACUCACAUUCCAAAUAUGCAACUUCCCAAAGUACCUCCGAAACUACUUUGGUUAAAAGCCCUUAGAGCCAUUUGGAGAUGUAAUUGUAUCUUGCCAAAGUCAUCCAAAAAAUUGAACCAAACACGUUUGCAUUUGGCCAAACCCCUUUAGAGUCCAAAAGCCCUUUCCAAAUGCCGAACCAAACGGGCCCAUAGACUCUUCCUCCCUCCCUCCCUCCCUCCUGUGGGUUCUUCAUUUUAUUAUGAAAACAAAAACCCACAAAACUAUUAUUUGUAUCUACUCACGACUAGCAAUUGAGUAGUUAUGGGCUAUGAGCUCCGUGGCUCAUGACUCGAGUGAAUGAAAACGCUGCAAUAUUAAAGCUCAUGCGGCAAUGCCAUAAGCUUGAAGAUCAAGUAGCCAUGGCUCAAGCUUUGCAACUCAAAUAGACAUCAUGGCUAUGGCCAUCCGUGAGCUUGAGCAUGAAUGGCCAUGGCCAAUGCUAACUUAGAGUUGGAGCCCACGGUAAUGGCGGGUCAUAACGGAGCUCUCUCUCAAUUGUGUCAUUUUUUUUCUUUUUAUGUUUAUGUUGUCUCAACACCUAUGUGGCAUCACGCUAUGUAAGCAUAAUAUGGCAGGAUACAUGUGUUCCAACAUCCAUGUUAGUAAAAUUUGAUUGGUAAGAGAAAAAAAGUACAAUAGAAAGAUUAACCGUGACACUUUCUAUGUAAUAUAAGAGCUUUGAGAAAAAAUAAAUAAAUAAAAGAAGAGGGUUUGAAAAGUCAACAAAAGAAGCUGAAGGAGAAGAGUGGAAGCUUGGGCUGUUUUUAAAGAGAAGAGAGAGGGAGGGCUUGGGUAGAAAUGAAACAGGGGAAAGGAAGAAAAAAAGGGAAGAGAGAAAAGAAGAGAAAGGAGAAAGAAGAAAGGAGCAAGGGAAAAUUUUUGGCGCGCUCAUGACCCAGAAGCCUAACUAAGCCAACUUAACUCCGUUUUGCAACGCUGGUAAGUGAUUGAAGCCUAUAAUCAUCUAUUCAAACAAAUCGUCACAAUUAGUGCUCAAAAUUUGGAUUUCUUGGAGAUUUGUGUGGCGAAGUCUGAUUUUUGAGUUAUUGAACUGCGUAAUUUUAUAGAAAUGAUAGUUUAUGGUGUUUUGAAGUUAUAGCAUUUUACGAAUUGUGAUUUGAGCUUACAGUUUGCCCAUAAUGGAAUUUUCAAUUUUGGCGUACAUUUUGGAAUAGUACCAAACGAUAUCGAACAAUAGCUUUGGCUCUAAAUUUUAGCAAUUUUCGGUGAGAUUUUGGGAUGGCUAAGUUGGGGUUGUUGUAGUGUAUCAAGAGAACUAUAAGAUGGCUUGAAACGGAAUAUUAUAGAGGAAGUUAUGGUGCGACAAAAUUUAGCACGCGAGCCAUGCCUAGCGGACAAUAAUAGGUUUCUGCUAAAUACGAGCUUUCAUUGGCAUGUAGGUGUUGUUUUAUCGACAAAUAGGCUUAGUAUAGGCAAGUCGUUGUAAGAAUUUUUUUUUUUUUUACGCCGCCUUUUGAUAUUGUUUUUCGGUUAAUUGUUAGGGAUCCAAGUGCGUCAGUUCAAGUAAGCGUCGUAGUUGGUUUUUGGGUUUUUCCUAGGUGAGUGACACUAUUUCUUCUUUGUGUUUUAAACUCAUGUUUUGAAAAAAAAAUUAUGGAUUAUAUAUGCCAUGAGUAGAUAAAUAGCAUCUUUUGUUGCAUAAAACGGGAUCAAGAUUUCACUGCCAUUUUGUUGUUGAAAGAGAUAAUUAUCAUUUGAAUUGAGUUUGAAUGAUUGUCUAAAAAUGGUUUGUGAAACCCUUUAUUAAAGAAUUUCGAAACGUCUGUUGUGACAUUCUGAUUUUCGAUUCUGUUUUCGACUAAAUGAAUUGGGUUUUUCAUCGACGCGCUUAUAGUCUUUUUCUCUAAGCUGAUCACUCAUGAGAUAACUAAUUUAUCAAGUGAAGCCGUUAAGGAAUCUAAAUGCGACCGACUUGAGAAUUCGAUUAAAAAUCGACUGUUCAACCAUGCUAAUCUACAAAGGUCAAUACGUCACGUUAAAAUUGACUAGAGACCGGAAAUGUGUCGAUUCAACAAAGGCAUGUAAUUAAAUGGUUCGUAGGAGUAAAAUAAUUCUCUCAUUAUUUUACUUAGGUGUCUAAUCGACCUACCAUAAACCGAUUAGUGGCAACUUCUAGAUAAUAAUCAUUUGUAUGUUAAAUAUUUGAACCUUAAGUCAUGAAUUGGUGUGGGGCUUAGGAGAGCCCGAGCUAAGUUUAAGGACUUAGUAGUACAAGAAUCCACUGUGAGACCACUAUUUGGACACAUAGUCCACGUACUGUAAUGCCGAACUUGAACCUGAAGAAAGAGAGGUAGAAGAAAAUUGAUUUGCCUGAUCAUCGGUAAGCUUUUGAUCGUUAUUAUCACAUAACGACCCCCUUGGUUCAGCAUCCAUUGAAGGACAGCGUUUCGUCAACAAUGAGUUUCGAACUGAACUACUUCUUUUCCGGUGGAUUGUCCGAGCCUGCGAAAAAAAAAAUGGAGAAAAAUAAGUACAUACAGAAACCACUAAAAUGUUCUCACGUAGUUCUCAGACCUAAAGUGACAUUUUCACGAUAAUAAUAGUUUCUUUCGCAACAUAAUAUGUAAUCCUCGUUGGACAUUUCUUUAAUGGCACAAACUAGAAAAACGAAAAUAGUGGGAUAACAAACCAAAGCGGUGUAGAAGAGAGCGGACUUCAACAUGCGCGAAAAGCUAUGCUUUCUCGAUCGAGCAUACGGUGGUUUCACGCUUACUCUCUCAUUGUCGUCCUCAUCGAUCAAAAGAUGCAUGAGCUGCUUCCGCCUACGCCUGGGCUCGAGCAUCAUGUCCUCGAUGACGGGCCGUCUAAAGCAAUGCAAGAACUUGAUCCUCGACACAUUCUUCAUGGUCUCUCUCUGACGUUUCAUGCGUUGCAAAUCGCAACCCACGUUUCGGACUCAAUGGAGAAAAGAAACGAGGCAGGAAAAGAUGGGGAGGCCACACGUUAUUUUUGGAUGGCUUCGAGUCGAAAGGCCAUAGAUUUAGUGUAGUUUUGGAUCACUUGUUUUCUUUUCCUUUGGUGCAAGUGUAAGUACAUGAAGACAUCUCUCUUUAUAUAAAUAUUUCUAUUUCCAGAGUGAGAAUUACUAUCGGCUGGUUCAAGGAUUUAAAUGCUCGAAUGAGAAGGUCAGAGAAAAGGGCAAAAGCGGAUAAUGGCUUACUGCCGCCGAUGGACAGACAAGUAGGAGGAGAGGGUAUGACUACGCACGUCUUGGCUUAUGGUUUUAGUGAAGAGAAAUGGCUUUAAAUUUAAUGUUCCUUAUGAUCGUCAAAACAUCUCUAGAUAAUUAAUCUCUGAGUGGGGUAAAAUGUGAUAGUCGUCCUCCAAGGAAUUCUAAACUUAUUCCUUUUGUUUAGGAGUAUCCAAAAAAAUCAACAAUUGCCCAGAAUCAGACCAAACCCACCUAGAACCAACGGUUCUCAUGGGAACCGGUCCGGUUCCAAGGAUGGAACCAUCCACCUAAACUGGACCGGUAUAUAUAUACCAGUCAAGUUUUCUAUCAAUUCUAAAGUCCUAGCCAUGGACUUGCUUCUUUGAUAUCUUAAUGAGGACAAUGAUGCUCUCUUCUUACUGUCCAAAUUGAGACCCAUCUCAACUAUUGUCAUCAUCCUCCCUUCUGUAUCUUUUCCUUCAUUAGGAUCACAUACUAGUUUGGUGUCCAUACAACACACAUUAGAAACAUUUUGGCUUUAUUCCUUCCUCUAGAAGACCGGUUCCAAGGAUCCACCCAAGAACUAGAUUGGUAACCAACGGAUGGUUCUUGGUUCUAGGGGGGGGGGGGGAAUAGCCCACUGCCCAUCUUGGAACCAACCACCCUUGUAUUCAAUUCGAGAAAUGUGUUGCUUCUUCAAAAUCCUAGGGGUGCCUUGCAAAUGCUUGUGCUAAUAAGCAUUUUGCUUGCAUGCUAGCUACAAGCCAAAAGUUCCACCUGCUUACACAAUCACAAGAAAUCGAAUCAUGCCGUUUCAGUGGGUGGAUAAAUGCAAUGGUGGUUUGUGGCCAUUCGAGCAGAGAAACUAUUGUCCGCUUUAGACACUAAGUCCUCACGGUUUUGUUCGAAAACGCAUAUUUACAGUUAACGCACCCUCGUUGUGGCCCCACAUGUUGCGGGAGUCAGCAUUGAUACCACCUGUAAGGACUCGGGCCUCCACUGUACACAUAUUGUCCAUCCGCUUUGGACACUAAAUUCUCAUGGUUUUGUUCUUCUUAGGGCAGUCCAUAUUACCCCAAGAAAACGCGUAUGUACAGUUAGAGGAAACCAAGUCUUAUAAGCUAGCCCAGGACUUCCCCCCUAAGAGAUGUGGGACGGGAGACAUGCCCUUAGCCUCGCCCACGUACUACCGAGGCAAUCUUAGUCCGUCCCUCCGUACUUCCCCGGGUCUAGGUCUCCAUACUGCCCCAGGUCUGGAAGAUGAUAAGGCUGAACAGGUUGAGAUUGUUAUCAGGCCUUGACCUAGUAAAGCAUCUGCUUAUGGAGCCAAUGACUCAAGGAUGAAAAGAAGCCCAGUGCGAAGUGUGGAAGAGAGGAAAGAGGAGUAUGAUAGAGCACGUGCUCGUAUCUUCAGUAGCACAAGUGGUUCUGAUUUAGAUGAUACAUUUUCUCAUACCUCAACUGACCGGAGGAAUAUAUCUUUGAACAGAGAUGAUAAUUGUUGGAAAAAUAUGGCUUCGAAAUGGGUUGAACAAUGAAAUCGGAUCGAGUAAAACAACUCGGACUUUGAGGGGUGAUAUCACUUUCUUUAAGGAUUUAUUUGCCCCACAACGUUGCUAAUGGUCACCGGAAAAAAUCCUCCAGGAUACAACAAAGUCUCGGAUGAGAAUACUAGAUAGCAAUUCUAGUAUUUCUCCAGGGUCUCUCUAGGAAAACAAUCAAAAAAUUGGCUGUAGUUUUUUCAUAAAGAAGACUCGAAAAAUGACCACUUUUUCUUUCCGAAAAAUGACAAGUACAUAUAUGAAACAGUCUUGCAACUCUUCGUGAAAAUUGCCAAAGAAUGAACAAACACAUCUUUUAGAAAAUUGUUCGGAUAAACAAAUGCGACUCUUCGGAAGAAGUCGAAAACUGAACAAUUACAACCUUUCAAAAAAAAUUGCAAAACCGAAUAAGUAAUUUUUUUCCAAAUGUUGUCUUGAAAAGACACAAAUAAAAUUCAGAAUAAUAGUUUUUUUUUUAAAUAGAAUUUCGAAUUUCGAAUUUUCGUUUUAUAUUUCAUUUCCGAAAAUUCUCAAAUUAAAAGGCAACCUUUGAAUUAAAUAAUAAAUAAUAAAUAAAUAGCAAGGGAUUAAUGCUAAUUAAACAGCGGGUGUGCUAAGUGCACCAAAUAAUCGCACACCCACACGCGGGUAUGGUGGGUCUAGCCCCACCCAAUCAUUCCUUUAAUUACAAAAAGGAAUUCCCACAUUUUUAAAUUGACCCAGUUGCUCCCACAUUUUCUAUGUGGGACAAAGUAAAAAGCACUCAUUUUGUUUUAACAAACAAAAUUCCAACAAUAAUGAAGUGUGCAAGAUUCCCAUGGUGGAUGUUGAUAAGAAUACAGGCAUUAGAGAUGGCAGCACACAAUCUAGGGUACCCAUUCUUAGAGAUAGAAAAAGAUCGUUCUGACCUAGAUUAUGAUCGGAGUUAUGAAAGGUAAGGUCUUUUUUGUUCCAUUGAUAUCCUACUUUUGGGUUAAUACCCUAAAAAACCCCAAACUAGUACACUUGUGACAAAUUUACCCCAAAUUAUUUUUUUGACCAUGAAAAACCCCAAAUUGGUACACCUCUGACAAAUUUACCCUGAUUGACUGUUAAAAAUCCUAAACUUGUAUAUUUAUGACAAAUUUACCCCAAACUAAUUUAUUCGGCAAUAAAAAAUCACAAACUGGUAAAUUUAUGACAAAUAUAUCCUCUCCUAAAUUGGAUUAAUACCACAAAAAAAAUUACAAAAAUUGUAAAUUGUGACAAACGGAGCUUAAAAUCCUAAAUUGGUAUAUUAAUUAACUGUCACGUGUCAUUUAACUUAAUAAUUUGAUAGUAAAAUCCUAAAGGUAAGGUCUUUUUUGUUCCAUUGAUAUUCUACUUUUUGAGCGUGAGAUCAAUGUGACUGGAGUUGAUCUCAGCCUCGAUUUAAUCCUUUGAUCAGCUGUUUUACUUCUCAUUCAAAACAAUUUAUCAUAAGAAGCACAGCAAAAGUGGUGACAUAUUUUAGUAUUCAUCACUUUGUUGUGAAAAGCUGUUGAUAAAGUUAUUUACAGGCAUAUGCUGUCAAUUUGAUGUGUAACUGUUACAAUGACACUUGUUUUGCUUAGCCUUCUCCCUUGACCCAAAAAUAUGUUUUUGUGUAGCUGCAACAUGGCAUUAUGCAAUGCUACCUCAAUAUUGGCGUUUUGUUUGAUGAAUUCCGUAUUGGAACAGGUACGUUAGGAAUGUCCCUGCUGGUCAAAGUUUUGGUUUGGUGCCCUUCAACAUGCAAAAGAUUCAACAUCCUUUUGGGCAUUUUGAUGCUGGAUUUACUCCUCUUGGUCAGAUGCCGAUGCCUCAAGCUUCACUUUGUUGGAGAAAUCUUCUUGAAGUGUUUUGAAGUUGACAAAACGUUUCUAUCAGUCUAGUCUGAAGGCUUGCAGACUCUGUUAUUUAAAGUCUGAAGACCUCCGGAUAGCCAGACUCAAGACUCAAAGUCUAUCCUCAUUGACAGUCUCUAAUCCAUUGAAGAAAGGUUAUCCAGAACUGAAUGUUUCGUUAAGGAUUUAACUUUAUCAACUGGAUAAGAUCUCGUGGCUGGAAAAGACAUAACGGAGUCCUUUGAUUGAUCGAAGAUUGACUCGAUAAUUGAAGAUCCGGUGAUUGUCUAAAUAUUAUUGGAAGGUGCUACUUAUGGAUCGAAGAUUGUAUGGGCGAACAGGAUUGAUGGGCUAUCAACACGUUCCUUUAAUAGCUUGAAUAAUCUUCCUAAUUGAUUCCAUCCAACGGGUAGAUUGGAGGAAUUCCUUUGGUAAGUGCCAAUGGGUAUGAUGGCAUAAAGGAGUAUAUAAGGAAGACGGUCUUAGUUGUUCAAGGUGUACGCUAUAGAAGAAUUCCAAAGUCUGAAGCUCCUUUUUGUUUAGACAAUUCAUUUGAGCGAAUACUUGUAUACAAAAGAGAGUCUAUAUUUGUGAGAAAUCUUGAGGAGGUGUGGUAGAACAUCUACACUGUGGAAUCAAGGCAAAGCUGUGCUGUAACUUCUCUUUUGUUCAUAGUGGAAUCUAGCCAAUAGGCUGUCAGUGAAGAAGAGUGGACGUAGGCUUGAUAUAAGCCGAACCACUAUAAACCGCGUGUUCAAUUUUCUCUUCUCUCAGUCUUACUUUGAUUAUCGUUUGUCUAAAAUCCAUCAACUGUCUAGUAUUGUGCGAUUGUUGAAGAAAAAUAUUUUAUAUACCUAUUCACCCCCCUCUAGGUACUCAUACUAGCAAUAUCACACUUAACUAUAUGCCUCCUUCUGGUGCUGUCAUGAACUCUUUUGGAGUGACGGGAUUGAAUCAAAAUACAAGUGAUGCUGGGUACAUGCAAUGGCCUACUGCUGCAAUGAUGUAUGCAUACUCAUAUGAUCAACUCCGGCAUGGUGUUUUCCAAGUAAAAAUAUCCUAUUAAUCUAUCGAUUUUAGUAGCCAUUUGAAGGGAAGCUUAGACUGCAAUGAAUUUACUGUUUCUUAGUCAUAUAAUCAGAUUGAGUUUGUUUUUCAAAGCUUUAUCUUUAUUUUUUUGGGUUCUCUUGGCAAUUCUUUCAUUUCCUACAUUGAUGCCUUGUAAGGACCCAGACUGGACCUCCACUGUACACAUAUUGUCCGCUUUAGACACUGUUGAUGCCUAAAUUUCAUUUUUUUAAUUAAUUAUGUUUUUUAUAUUUAUUUUUUCCUUUUUCGGAUAAUAAAUAAAAAAAAAAGGAAAACAGAAGCAGCAACCAAGGCCUAGCCCCCUUUUCUUUCUUUUUUUCCUCCACGCAGGCCUAGGGCCCGUCCCUCUUUUUCCCAAAUCCGGCCCAGCCCCCUUCUCUUCUUCUUCUUCUUCCUUCUUCCAUCUUCACCUACGCCUCUACAACUCACACACACAGAGGACACCGACGCGCAAAGGACGGCCUACGACCGAGGAGAGUAGGCCGACGUCGGCUGCAGAGGAUAAGAUCUCAAGCACCAUUAAUGCUGAGCGAGCUUCGCUGGAAAGCGUCGGAUGGGACACUGGUUCGGCCGUCGGGGGCCGCUUGGCGCGCGAGGGGGACCGGCGGUCGAAGUUCCGUCGACCGGCCACCCCCUCACCUAUAAAUAGCCCCCAAUGUCGACGACGAAGAAGACACAGACAGAUCGAGAGAGGGAGAGUCGAAUCCAGGGCUUGCAAACCUCGGACCACCCACUGAGAGACUUCAGGGGAGGUCCGAGGUCGAACGGCCAAGGAUCCGAGGCUCGCCAGAGGAGAGGGUAGAGAGAGAGAGGGACGAUUCGAAGUCGCAAGCCUCGGGCACCCCACCGAGAGACUUCAGGGGGGUCCAAGGACUCGCGGCCGCGGAUCUGAGCCUCGCCGGAGGAGGAAGUAGAGAGAGAGAGAGAGAGAGAGAGAGAGAGAGAGAGAGAGAAGCUGAAGGGAAAAGGGGGUUCACGUGGGUAUCGCCGCCCUCGUCACGCCGUUGCCAGGUAGCGUGCUGUCGCCGUCAUCGUCGCCGUCGCCAUUUCCCUCUCUGUAGCCCAGCCCUCGCUGCCGCCGCCGUCGUCGCCGCUACGCCUCAGCCCUCUCCCCCCUCGGCGCCGCGAUUCAGAAACCCUAGGGUUCUCGAUUUUCCGGGUCGUUGGGUCAAAUCCGGGUCGGGAACCGGGUUGGGAUUCCGCGAUUUCGGGGGCGGUGGGAAUCGGGUCGCGAGCCGGAGCUGAGUCCGCGUUCGGGUUGCCGGCCCGAGUCGAACCCAACCUGCAGAUCCAACCUGGGUCGGCCCUUUUUUUAAUUUUAUUUUAAAUAAAUAAUAAAUAAUUUAUUUAUUUUCCAAAAAAAUCAAAAAAUAUAAUUUAUUUUCGAAAAAUUUUAAAAAAUAUUUUAAUUCCCAAAAACCAAAAAAUAUUGAAAAAUAUUAAAAAAUAUUUUAUUUUCCGAAAAAAUCAAAAAAAUCAAAAAUAUUCCAUAUAUCUCCAAAAAAAUGCCAAAAAUCCAAAAAAAACCAAAAAUUCAUGAAAAAACCAAAAAAAUUUAGAAAAAGCCAAAAAGACUUGUAUUUUUCCAAAAUACCAAAAAAAAAUCCAAAAAAAUCCCUUUUGUCCAAAAAAUUAGAAAAAGACUCAAAAAAUGUUUUUCCUCCCAAAAAUGCAUGGAAAAUCCCUCGAGCAUCCAAAAAACCUCAGAGUUUAAACAAGAUUAGGUACCGAAAGGGCAUUAGUGAUUAACUAGUGUAAUCAAGUCCCCGAUCCUAAUUUCUCUGGUUGCGCAGGAGCGAGUAUUUCUCCCAAUAAUUCGCUUAGGUUUCUAAUCGACCCACCCCGAACCAAUUAGUGGUGACUCCGUUUUAAAAUUAAUUUACAAGUUAAAAAUUUAAACUAUUAAAGUCGUGAAUUGGUGGACUUGGGAGAAUCCAGGCAUAACUAAUUUCAGCCGAGCCAUUAGCCUCCGCCGACGCCCGUACCCAAUUGCGGGCGCCGAAAAAAAAAAGAGGUCACGACAGCUUGGCGACUCCGCUGGGGACUUUGAGGACUUAGGCCAUUUUAUCUUUGUUUAAAUGCUUUGCUGACUUGGAUUUUUUUUUUCUUUCUUUUGUGCAGGGUAAUAACUUAAAUUUUUUUAUUCUGUUAAAAUAAAAUGUUUCGUGAUUAUAAACUGUUGUGCAUCCUUAAAUGUUUUAGCACUACACAUGGCACACACAACCCGGCCGCCGGACCUGGGCCACCAUAGGAUAUCUAGGAUGGUGUCAAGAAAGAUACGACCUCGAACGCAAGACUGCGAUGUAGAGGUUGCCUUUCUUUUCCCCGAAUUUCUUAGCCGAAGUUAGGAGGGUAUGCUGCUAACGCGAGACUGCGACGGGCGGAUAUCCUUUUAAUCUCAACAAACCUUCUCAGUUAGAAAUCGAGCCACACGCUCCAUGCGCAUGUCUUUGUGCUUGCCAUUUUUCUUUAAAAGUAAAAUAAUUUCUUUACUUUUACUCAGUCUUUUUAUUUGGCCCAUGGCAAUUUCGGAUAAGCUUUUCAAGUCUCAGUCUAUAUGCAAUGGGAAAGACGAUAUCCAGUUCAUUCCUACUCCCAAUGCAGAGCUCUUCAAAUGGUGGGGUCAAUUAGAUUAGUUUGCCCAAAAGCGUGUGAAGGCCAAAGUCGGUCAUCUCCUAUCGUUGAUCCAAAUCACUGUUCGCCCUGAAGUCAUACAAGCCAUGGCACAUUUCUAGUGCCCGAAGACGGUUACUUUUAUGUUUGGUAGGUUUGAGCUAACCCCAACCCUGGAAGAAUACAGCAUCAUCACUGGAAUGCCUCUUGAGAAAAAGCUUGUCAAGCCAUCAACAGGCAUCAUCCCGCUGCGUGGGUUAGCGCGGCUUUUAAGAACUGAAGUCCAUACUAUGAUAUAAAUUCUUGAAGAUAACCAUAAUACCUGCCCACUAGAAUUUAUGAAUGCAUGUUUCCAAAAUCAGCCUAUGAUCCAAAAAAGUGAAAUUUUCCUCCUGGCAUUUUUCGGACUCAUCAUCUUCCCCCAUCAAAUAAAUGACAUAAGUCCUAAGAUGGCAUGGAUAGUUGAUCAAAUCUUGAGAGGGGGGAAUUAUGUCAACAUGAUUUUAACUGAGACAUUCUUAUCCUUUAAUCGUUUUAAAGACAACACAAAGAAAAUCAUGCGAGCCUCUCCUGAAAUUUUACAAGUCUGGUUCUUUUCUCACCUAAGUGAAUUUCGAGACUUCAUGCGAUCGUCUGAAAUGAAUGCUUUCGAAAACCCAUUACAAAAAUUUAUGGCUUUAGGACCAUACAUUCCCAAUCAAAGCUGUUUAAAUUAGGUAAACUUCCUAAGAGACCUAGCUCCUGAGGCAUUCCAAUGGUGUGCUAGUUGGUUCCAUGAAAAGAGAGCUUGUUUCGCUUACAAGCGUUGUCUCCCAAUUCUGUUGCUCGGCCUCACUGGCGCCGUUCUCUAUUACUCAUAUCGGGUGGCACGACAAUAUGGAGCCCUUCAGGAGAUCCCACCGCCUUUCAAGAGGAUGCUCCCUCCAAUUCUUUUCAACACAAGCCGUGACUACGCAUUCGAAAUUUCUACCGCUGAGGAAACCUGGGACAAGUGCCAUCACAAAAGGAUCGUGGUACCUAAAGGGCUUGAGGAAGAAGAAAAAGUCCACCACACCUCCAUGUCCUACAUCCACAACCAUCGUAUCCCGACAAAAUGGAAGCCAUCAGUCCCUCACUCAAUCAGCGAGAGCAACCAGCACGAGCAAGCAGAGCUCAUGGAGAGGGAUUUGGGAAUGGACUGGAUACACACCUCAGAGCCGGUCCAAGAAAGUAAGCAUCUGCGCAAGCGCAAGACUCCCCGUCGCAUAUAAAUUGGCAAUCAUGUGCCCCUUAGUGUUAAUAGUGUGAAAGUUUUGUCCCAUUGUUUAGAGACUUUUGUUUAAUAUCUAGUAUUUCAUUCUGUCAUUUCAAUUUCAAGUUUUAGAUGUUAGGAGUUGGCAGUCUAUAAAUCCUCUUUUGAUAAAUAAAAAAGCAGUUAGACCAUUGCCAUGUGUCAAUCUUUGUUUACUUUCGUACUCAUUCAUUGUUUUCGCAACGAACAGGUAAUUAUGAAUCGCCGGUCACCAAUAGCUCGCGAAUGGCCUCAUGCACUAGGGCCCGAUAAGAAUGAUGUACAAAAUUGCCUCAUUAACAUUGAAGACGGCGUAGGACAGAUGUCCAUUGUCCUUCGACAACUCUCAAGACAAAUGAACUCUACUCAAGCUGAGCCCAACUCUGUAGUUGCCCUAAACACCAUCAUGAUACCCGCAAAUUUGCCAGAAAAUAGCCAGUACCAUAGACAGUUUGAAAGGAUCAUGAAAAAGUUAAGCCAGCUGCAUGAACAGAAUCCCAUGGACCUGUCCAAGUACGCCGGCAUUGAGAUUCCUGAAGAGCUCAAAGCACCUGAAUGCGAAAGGUAUGUUGAUACCUCCCGCCCAGAGACCUACUUGCAGGCCUACCUGGUCCGAAGGAUGAUUCAAUCGUACCAAUUGAGCUUGACUGGCCCUGCCUUGCGAUGGUACAUUGUCAGGAAGAUUAGUCCCCUUAAAACCUGGAGGGAACUAAUUCAUGUUUUUCACCAAGAGUAUAAUAUUGACAUCACCCCUGACAUCAUCUUGCCCUACGAAGAGUCGAUGAUUGCGAAGCACGAGGAGCCGUUAGUCGCUGAGGUAAGAGAGGAGCAUGUCAAUGAAGCCUUGCAUAAUAAAUGGGUGACUGAGCAGCAUCUUAUUACUAAAAAGUUUCCCAGUAGGAAAGGCAAGGAGCCUUUGUACGAGAUCAAAGACGCAGAGCCUGUUCAAGACCGAGGCACGACAGGACAACUCCCCAAGCUUACUCCAAGAGCUAGGGUCCAAAGAAUACCAACCCCUAUCAACCUGGAAAGUGAAUCAAACAGUGAAACUCUAAUGUCUCUCACUUCCCUUGACAGAAUCGAGCUAGCAAAACGAAGGGCCCUACUCAAAAGAUCUAGACUAGAAGCCAAGAAAAGAAAGCCUAAGCAGAUCAAUGCAGCAUCUGUCGACGAGCCACCGCACCAAAGCUUCGAGCAUUCCCAAGAAUACAGCUUUGAAGGCUACCAUCCCCUAGAGUACAACCCUGAAGACUUCCCGGCCCUAGAAUACAAUCCCAAGGACUUCCAGCGUUAUUUCAACAAUGAAAAUGACGAUUCAUCGUAUAACUAUUUCCUACUCUCAUCCGCGGAUGAAGGCCCGUCAGAAGAGGAAGCAUAUGUCUUUAUCCGCUACGAUCCUAACGAAGUACUAAGCUCGUCCUCUGACCAUGAGGAUAGCUUCAAUACUUCAUCCUCAUUCGGAAAUUUUGACCAAGAAGAAAGUAAUGGGGUAAUCUCGGUAGAAUCCAACUUCCCUGAAAUAGAAAAAUUCACCACUACAACAGAUAUGCAGUGGGAAAACCAGUGGCCUAACCAAGAUACAUCAAGCCUGUCUUGCGCUCAUAGGAUCAUGACUCCUGAAGAGAUGUGGAUACCUAAUCUCCGUAAGUAUAAUAGCAACACUUGUCCAUUGGCUCAUUUGCAAUAUCUCCACGCUGAAAUGAAUCAGUACUAUAGCCCGAUGUCAUUCGCAACUCAGGCCUUUCAAGAAAGUCUUACGGGGUCUGCAUUACAAUGGUUCAUCACAGCAGACAUCUAGCUCAUGAGAGAUUGGAAUGAGCUGUCUUCUGCAUUCCUGCUUCAGUAUCAAAACCAGAUUGGGACCGAAGUGCUUUGUCAGAACUUGGUUCACUUCAGAAGAAGACCAAUGGAGGAUUUCCAAGCGUAUGCAAGGAGGUGGGAGGCUUUUAUGAUGCAAACUUACCAUCAACUGGCCAAAGAAGAAAUGAUAAAACUGUUCAUAGGGGCCUUACCUCGCAAGCAUCGUUGUUGGUUGCAUGGGUUGCACUUCCAUAGCUUUAAUGAAGUGGUCCUCUCAUGCGAAUACUUCGAGUCUACUGGAGGUGAGGAACUCAAAGGCGCUUGAUUUCGGAACUAACACUAUCAAAGCACUCCUUUACACAGGAGUUUUCAUGGGUUUUACUUGUUUUUAUAAUUUCAUGUUUCUUAUCUUGUCUAGUGUGCUACUGUUGUAUUUUCCAUUCCAAGUACUCUAUUGUACAGUUCUAAUAUUUUGUUUUGAGAGCAUGAAGUGGUACUCUAAACCUGCCCAGUGAUGCUAUCCAACCAUGAAAAGAAAAUAUCAUCCAAGGAGAAUACUGAGGGCCGGGCUUCCUCAUGCUUUUUUUUCUCCCCCAAAGACGUAUUUUGAAAAUAAAAAAUAUUUCAUCACUGAAAAGCUUUUGUCAAAACAAGAUGAUAAAUUUAAGUACGUUUGUCUUUCUAACCCUCUCACUUUAUGUUUCAGAACAUCAUCCCCUUUGAUUUAGUGUGACAAAAGGUAUUUGAAACUAGCACAUCGUGUGAACAAAUCAAAUUCAAAAGCACCCUUCCAAGAAAACGGGGGCAAACAGAAAGGAUCAUCACGUUUCAAAAUGGUAAGUCAUAUUCCCUGAACAUAAUGUUGAAAAUGACAUCCUCUCUCUUCCAUCUACAAGAGACGAAGGAUGGGACGUAAUAGGCACAUGCAUAUUAUCAAACUUGAAGCAUGCAUAGCAUGAUAACUCAAGGUAGGAUGUCGCGAGUUCAUUGACGGGACUUCCAGCUUCAACGAGCCAAGAAGCAUAAAGAAGAAAUUUCUUCUCUUCCUUUAAAGUGAUUACUGUCAACAUGAAGAAAAUCUAGACAUUCAAAGCGAUCUAUAGCCCCACACCCUGGACAAUGACUUUGGAAUCUAGAAACUUCACUCCAGACGCAUAUUCUUCCAAGGAGUAAUUGCCAUCAGAAAGCUUGAGAUUUUUGAUCUCAGAUUCCAUAGAAGCUUGAGGUACAUGACUUUUGCCCAAUGAUGCUAUAGUUAAAGACAGAAGAAAAAUUCCACAAAAGGAAGGCGUUGAAGAUGAAUCAACGACCAACAAUCAUGCAUACUGGUCACAAAAGAGGAAGGCCAAUUGAAGGAAAUAUUGAACUAUACCAAGACGAAGAGGCUGUCAUCAGUAUACAGAAACCCUUAGGAAUCAACAAAUACAAACUCUGGGGAAGGGUAAUUUGGUAUCGUUUCCAAUACUCCCACUAUCUGAACCUGCUUUUGACGUAUUUUCCCUAUUUAACAGGGAGCAUCACAACUCAAGAACCAAACUCAAUGGUUAGGUUUGGCAAAUCAAUAUUGGCCAAGCUAGUACGUGGAAAUGACCCACAUCAAAUUCACCUGGCUUCGUGUAAAAAGACAUGUCAUCCAGGAGUCAAUUCAGAGAAUAAUUGACCUAACAAAGCAAGGGACAUAGGACUUCGUGUCCCCCUCUCACUUCAGGUUCACCCAAUCAUCUGCAAACCAGUGAAGGGUAAAGUUGUAUCUCUUCCAGUUAUUCGACUCUUGAAAGAGUUCAUGACUAACACAUUCCCUCUUGUUUGUUGCAGGAUCACCUGACUGUCAAAAACAAAGAUAACAAAUCAAUGAGAAGCAUGUCAGACUCUAAGAGGCUCUCCAAAGAGAAAUGGCAUCCUGAGGGCAAAAAUAGAGAUGCCCGAUCAGAUCUCCAACCCCGGUUGAUCCUUCAUGUGUCAUAUCCCUAAUCACUAGGGAUAUCUAUCGACGCCCAUUUGCGAAUAACCCUUUUGAUAUUCAAAAUUUAACAUAUUUGGAAACACCAUUAUGUUAACUCCUAAAGUUGUCAAUAGAGUCUUUUUUGAGUCAAAACCAUUCACUUGUUUUGAAGAGUUCAAACUCCAUCAUAUUCAAAAUGUUGCAUGUCGUUUCCAGAUGAAUUCUGCAUGAUGAUUUUGCCUGUCUAAAUCACUAAUUCCACUAAGGAUUAUUAGAAUAGACAGCUAAGUGAAGAAUACAAGAUUAAUUGAGCAUGCUGGAUGAGGCGCGUCAGAAUGAUGACAGGCAAGCUAUAUCCUAUACACAGUUCCCCCCAUCUAUACACUUGUGAGAUGAGUGCAGAAGAUUCCGUGACUGCAGGGUAAAGAGUUCUCUCUCGAAUGGUACGAUAACCAAAAUAGUGAGAGGCAUUCCAUCGCUCACCCCAUUGAGCCCCAUACACUGACAAAUUUCUGCUAUACUCCCGUCAAAGAACCACCCCACACUGGGGCAAGUCGAAAGCAAGUCAGCAUCACAAGGUGAGAAAGAGGAUAGAAAUUUUCUUGCUUGCACUUGCAUCAAUCUUCGAGUGUCUUUAUUGCAUAUGAACACUCGCGUUAAUUUAAGUGCCCUAGAGUAAUGAAGAGCAAUUCUUUCUUUACGCACUUGUAUUCAUUGUACAACCCAAGUGAGUCUGUAAUUUUACCCUCACAUCAAGACAAAGCCAAAGUUAUUGCCAUAGCCUGAGCGCCGGUUGAAGAUGAAGACUCAAGAGUCUAAUAACGGUGCUUCGAUUAAACUUGCCUAGGCCAGUUCCUCCGACAACAAGAAAAAAAAAACAAGGGCAUAAAAAAGCAGUGUACCUAGUAAAAGCAAGGUCAAUGCCCAUGAAUGAAGAACUGGAAUAAAAAAAAAUAGGGGCAUUAAAAAAGCAAUAUGCCUGGUAAAAGCAAGGCCAAUGCCCCCCAGUCAAAAAUACAGCCAAGAAAAAGUUGUUGUGGUCCAUAGAACCUCCAUCUGACAAGAAAGACUAGUGACAAAUGCCAAGACAAUCACCAACUCUCACCCUCUUACAUGUGAGCCAAGUCUACGUUACAUCCCCAUUGUAAAAGUCUCUUCAGACUAUGGGCACUUCAAUUAACGUAGGAUUUCAUAUGUAUAUAAGCAUCGCUCGGAGAAGUACGAGCAAGAUUACUCUAUCUCUUUUCGCAGGAUUCUUGACUAAUAAACCCGGAGAUGAUCAUGCAACAUUUUUUCCAUCGGCUUCGACCUUGAUGGUCCCCUCUGAUGAGCCGCUGACCAAGACUUCAUCAUAGUUUCAACAAAGACCUCUCACAUUGGUAAAGUUGUACCGUUUGCGAGAAUACUCGAACCCCUGCUGACAUGAUGACAGUGAGAUAGUGUGGUCCUUAUAAAUCCUGCAUUAAUGGUCAGGAUAGCCUUUUCCAUGAGAGUGAGCGAAAAGUCCCUUCAGACUGAAAGUCCCUCAUCUGGCAUGCUCAAGACAUCUACAUUAUAAAUAAAAGUUGUCUUUCAAAAUCUUCCCCAGUGGAACUCAGAUGAUGCAAAACUAACAAAAUUGUCAUGCAUAAAUCACAUUUGAACUCAUGAAUUUACAGCAUACUGUGCAAAUAGUAGACAUACUCUCAGAGGUCAGAGAUAUUGCUAGGUAAGCAUAUCCCUAUCCCCAUUUGUCUUAAAGUACCUACCGCUGUCCAGGUACUCUCUUCUUGACACUCGACCUAUUCGAGUCGUCCCUUAAGUUUGGGUGCUUGCAACUGUCUAAGUAUCCCCUUGUCUUUAAGUACCCACCACUUGCCGAGUACUCCCUCUUAUUGACACUCGCCAUGUUCGAGUUGUCCCCAGAGUAUUGAUAUUUGCAACUGUCCAGGUAUCCCCCUAUUUUUGAGUGCCUGCCGUUACUCAAGUGCUCUCUCUGUUGACACUCGACCUGUUCGAGUUGUCUUUAAAGUUUGGAUGCCCGUGACUGUCCAAGUAUCCUCUUGUCUUUGAGUACUGGCCACCGUUCGGAUACUCCCUUUCCAUGACAUUCGACCUGUCUGAGUUGUCCUCAAAAUUGUAUCAUUGAAUACUAGUAGCCAUUCAAGUAUUCCAUCACAUUGCGCACUUGUGGUUACCCAGGUAUGCCUUCUUACACUUGGACCAGCCUGAGUGGUCCCAGAUCAUAUCAUUAAAUACUUGUAUUCAUCCAAGUAUUCCAGUACUUUGUACACUUGCGUCUAUCCCGGUGUUCCACCCCUUUUAAGUGCCUGCGGCAAUUCAGGUAAGCCUCAUACCACAUUCAAGUUUAUAAUACCAGGAGGUGAGAGACCUUCACGAAUAUGCGAGGCAUGCCCUCGAUAUUCUCAUUACCAGGAGGUGAGAGACCUUCACGAAUAUCUUAGGUACGCCAUCGAUAUUCCAAAUUACCAGGAGGUGAGAGACCUUCAUGAAUAUCCAAGGUACGUUCUCGAUAUUCCAACUGCCAGGAGGUGAGAGACCUUCACGAAUAUCCCAGGUACGUCCUCGAUAUUCCCCUUUACCAGGAGGUGAGAGACCUUCAUGAAUAUGUGAGGCACAUCCUCAAUAUUCCCAAUUACCAGGAGAUGAGAGACCUUCACGAAUAUGCGAGACCCAUCCUCGAUAUUCCCACUACCAAGAGGUGAGAGACCUUCACGAAUAUGCGAGACCCAUCCUCGAUAUUCCCACUACCAAGAGGUGAGAGACCUUCACGAAUAUCCCAGGUACACCCUCGAUAUUUCCCAAUUGCCAGGAGGUGGGACACCUUCACGAAUAUCCAAGGUAUGUUCUCAAUAUUUCCAAUUAUCAAGUACCCCUUCGAUACUUGUGAAUGUCCAAGUAUCCCCCAAGAAUUCAUACAUGUGAUCAUCCAAGUACCCCUUCAAUGCCUAUGGUCAGCCAAAUACCCAUUUUGACGCCUGCAAAUGCCCAAAUACCCUUCAGGUUAGUACUUGUGAAUAUCCAGGUACUCAUUGAUAUACCUGUGAAUGUCCAGGUAUCUUCCAAAAUCGAUGCCCUGAGAAAGGUCGGCGCAUCCUCCUGAGAAAGGUCGGGUUCCAACUGGUGUUUUCGACAGAAGUCAGACACCCCAAAAAUCGAUACCCUGAGAAAGGUCGGCGCAUCUCCCGAGAAAGGUCGGGUACCAACUAGUGUCUUCGAUAGAAGUCAGACACCCAACAAAUCGAUGCCCUGAUAAAGAUCGGCGCAUCUCCUGAGAAAGGUCGGGUACCAACCGGUGUCCUUGAUUAAGGUCAGGCACCCCCAACAAAUAGAUGCCCUAAGAAAGGUCGGCGCAUCUCCCGUCAAGGCGACCGAAGAAAGGUUUGGGUCCUAGACAAACCAACUUAUUGCUCUAACAAGCGACCGAAGAAAGGUUCGGGUCCUGGAAAAGAAAUUCCCCGUCAAGGCGACCGAAGAAAGGUUUGGGUCCUACACAAACCAACUUAUUGCUCUAACAGGUGACCAAAGAAAGAUUCGGGUCCUGGACAAAUCACUUAUUACUCUAACAGGCGAUUGAAGAAUGGUUCGGGUCCUGGAAAAGCAGCCUCCUCAUAUCACCAGGUAAGAUGACGCCUUGAUACUUGCCAAACUCGGGGUUCACACCCUAUCUCACUCACUCCCGGUAAGUAACUACAGGUAUCUUCUUAUCUGUCUUAGUAUGUGUAAAGUUAUAUUGCUCUUUUUCCAUAGAAUAAUAGAUCCCAAAUAAAAUACAAUCUGCUACGCAUGCAUGGAUAAAAUUUAGGCAUUAGUUUGUCUUUGAAUGCAACCUCUGCGAGCUCACCUUUAAAGAAGGGCAGCUGUUGACGCCUAAAUUUCAUUUUUUUAAUUAAUUAUGUUUUUUAUAUUUAGUUUUGCCUUUUUCGGAUAAUAAAUAAUAUAAAAAAAAAAGGAAAACAGAAGCAGCAACCAAGGCCUAGCCCCCUUUUCUUUCCUUUUUUCCUCCACGCGGGCCUAGGGCCCGUCCCUCAUUUUCCCAAAUCCGGCCCGGCCCCCUUCUCUUCUUCUUCUUCUUCCUUCUUCCAUCUUCACCUACGCCUCUGCAGCUCACGCGCAUAGAGGACACCGACACAUGAAGGACGGCCUACAGCCGAGGAGAGUAGGCCGACGUCGGCCGGAGAGGAUAAGAUCUCAGGCACCAUUUAUGCUAAGCGAGCUUCGCUGGAAAGCGUCGGAUGGGACACCGGUUCGGCCGUCGGGGGCCGCUUGGCGCGCGAGGGGGACCAGCGGUCGAAGUUCCAUCGACCAGCCACCCCCUCGCAUAUAAAUAGCCCUCGAUGUCGACAACGAAGAAGACACAGACAGAUCGAGAGAGGGAGAGUCGAAUCCAGGGCUUGCAAACCUCGGACCACCCACUGAGAGACUUCAAGGGAGGUCCGAGGUCAAACGGCCAAGGAUCCGAGGCUCGCCGGAGGAGAGGGUAGAGAGAGAGGGACGAUUCGAAGUCGCAAGCCUCGAGCACCCCACUGAGAGACUUCAGGGGGGUCCAAGGACUCGCGGCCGCAGAUCCGAGCCUCGUUGGAGGAGGAAGUAGAGAGAGAGAGAGAGAGAGAGAAGCUGAAGGGAAAAGGGGGUUCACGUGGGUAUCGCCGCCCUCAUCGCACCGUUGCCAGGUAGCGUGCUGUCGCCGUCAUCGUCGCCGUCGCCAUUUCCCUCUCUGUAGCCCAGCCCUCGCUGCCGCCGCCGUCGCCGCCGCCAUCGUCGCCGCUGCGCCUCAACCCUCUCCCCCCUCGGCGCCGCGAUUCAGAAACCUUAGGGUUCCUGAUUUUCCGGGUCGCGGCCUCGGGUCGUUGGGUCGAAUUCGGGUCGAGAACCGGGUAGGGAUUCCGCAAUUUCGGGGACAGCGGGAGUCGGGCCGCGAGCCGAAGCCGAGUCGAGUAGGGUUUCGCCAAGGGGAGCGGGUUGUCGGGUCGGGGUCGUCGGGCCGGGCCGGGUGUCCCCGAAUGCCCGGCCACGACACCGUUUCAAUAAAGUAAAAAAAAAAAAAGAAGAAAGAAAAAAGACAAAAAAAUCCGACUCAGGCACGCAUUGCGGGCCCGUCCGCGUUCGGGUUGCCGGCUCGGGUCGAACCCAACCCGCGGAUCUGACCCAGGUCGGCCCUUUUGUUUAAUUUUAUUUUAAAUAAGUAAUAAAUAAAUAAUUUAUUUUCCAAAAAAAUCAAAAAUAUAAUUUAUUUUCGAAAAAUAUUAAAAAUAUUUUAAUUCCCAAAAACCAAAAAAUAUUUAAAAAUAUUUAAAAAUAUUUUAUUUUCCGAAAAAAUAAAAAAAAAUAAAAAAUAUUCCAUAUUUUCCAAAAAAUGCCAAAAAUCCAAAAAAAAAACCAAAAAUUCAUGAAAAAGCCAAAAAAAUUCAGAAAAAGCCAAAAAGACUUGUAUUUUUCCAAAAUACCAAAAAAAAUCCAAAAAAAUCCCUUUUGUCCAAAAAAUUAGAAAAAAACUCAAAAAAUGUUUUUCCUCCCAAAAAUGCAUGGAAAAUCCCUCGAACAUCCAAAAAAUCUCAGGUUUAAACAAGAUUAGGUACCGAAAUGGCAUUAGUGAUUAACUAGUGUAAUCAAGUCCCCGAUCCUAAUUUCUCUAGUUGCGCAAGAGCGAGUAUUUCUCCCGAUACUUCGCUUGGGUUUCUAAUCAACCCACCCCGAACCGAUUAGUGGUGACUCCGUUUUAAAAUUAAUUUACAGGUUAAAAAUUUAAACUAUUAAAGUCGUGAAUUGGUGGACUUGGGAGAGUCCAGGCAUAACUAAUUUCAGCCGAGCCAUUAGCCUCCGCCGGCGCCCGUACCCGAUUGCGGGCGCCAAAAAAAAAAAGAGUUCGCGACAGACACUAAGUGCGUAUGUACAGUUAGAGGGACUCAAGCCUUAUAAGCUAGCCCAGGACUUCUCCCUAAGCGAUGUGGGACGAGAGACAUACCCUUAGCCUCGCCCACGUACUGCACCCUCGCUGUGGCCCCACACACUAUGAGAGUCAACUCUGAUACCACCUGUAAGGACCUAGGCCUCCACUAUACACAUAUUGUCCACUUUGGACAUUAAGUCCUCAUGGUUUUGUUCUUCUCAAGACAACCCAUACUACCCCCAAGAAAACGCGUAUGUACAGUUAGAUGGACCCAAGCCUUAUAAACUAGCCCAGGACUCCCCCCUAAGCAAUGUGGGAUGGGAGACAUGCCCUUAGCCUCGCCCGCAUACUGCCGAGGCGAUCUUAGUCCGUCCCUCCAUACUACCCCGGGUUUGGGUCAUUACAAAAUCUAACGAUUUUGCAUAUAUAACAUCUGCCUUUCCUAUCUACAUGUCGAGCAACCCUCUUGAGUCCACAAUUUAUGCAUCACCCUUUGAGCAUUAUCAUUAGAGUCUUCUAAAGAAAUAAGUCGGCUAAGCCUGUUAAAUGAGUGGGUUGAAUUGAGUCGAAAAAAUGUCUGACCCACUUAACCCGCAUUAACCCAUUUUUAUGCUAUACAAUUUUAGAGUUCUAUACCCAACCCGAUUAACACCUAACAUAUAACCGAUACAAUCCAUAUUACUAAAAAAAUCCAUAACUAACCCAAUUUAUGCAAACUCGUACCCAUUCGCUCAAACAACUUUAAGCCUUUCAUAUGAAUCUAUCAUUUAGAUAAAAUUUUAUAUCAAUUUAAAAAAUAAUAAACCAAAUAAAAAGUCGCCACUCGUUGUCGCUUGCCUAACCAACUCAGCUAACGUUAUCUCUCCUCCGUCCAAGCCCCACGCCGCUACUGUGGAGACCCCAAACAUAGUCGCCUCUCUCGCGCACGCGCGAUAUCGAAUAAGAGGUCGUGAACCUAUGUCUAACUUCACUGAUCAUUGUGGUUGUGGCAUCGCCAUGACCCAAGCCCAUCUAUAUAAUUUCUAUUUUGAAUGCAAUAACAAAGUAACCAAUGACAUUACUCGGUCAUCAUCGUAGCCAUUGUCAGCACAAUCACAUUAAUGUUGUUGGAAACUUUUGUAAAUUAAAAUUUUGAAUCUUAAGGUAAACAUUAAAUUAAGAAAAGAUCUAAAUUGUUUCCACCAAACGAUCUCCAAAGAUUGAUAAAAAUAAAAAUAAAAGUAAAUUAUAUUAAAGUUGCGCUCCAACAUCUCUUUAGAUGUGCAACAAUCUAUGUAAAUCACUGCAGAUAUGUACCGUGGGCCACAAGGGAGUACAACGUGCUUGUUGUUCAUAUUUAUUUGCUUCAGUUUUUGAACAAAAGCAAUCCAACCGAAUAUAUUAACAAAUUUGGACUUGCACUCUAUUCGUGGCCUGGUCUUUGGGCUUUUUUAUGCAAAGAAUGAAGAUGCAUUAUAUUCAGUGAGAUAUUGUUUGAUGCAGUGCAUAUUUUAUUCGGACCUGGAAAAAUGAUAAUAAUCCCCUGUCAAAUUUCAUUAUUUCUAUUGAAAAUCAGCCCAUACACUAGACAUUUUUUAGAUACAAACCAAAUAUCCUCCCAAGCGUACAUUCCUCCCAUCAAUUUUAUGAAAAACUUACAAUAUUUCCCAUCGUAGUUCAUCUCUCCAAGAGCUGCGCGUUUUGCUGAUUUUCCUUUCCAGUUUUCCUUUGAGUCAAGUCUCCAGACCUGUUUUCGUCUUAGAAGUCCAAGCGAGUAGAAACAUGGAUCGUUUAAGCGACCCAUCAUGACCCAUUUUACUAAGUCUUAACCCAUUUUGCCCCCACUUUGUUGCCAAACAACUUACCCAUUCUACAAGGGGCCAUUAAAUGUGAGUUGCAAAAUCAGUUUGUGAUUCAUUUUACCAGCUUUAGUGACCACACGGAUAAUUCUGAUCUAUGACCAAAGAUUUCGAUUUAUGGGUUUAUCAAUAUAGCUUCCUUUAAGACACAAAAUAAAGCAGUUUAACACGAAGUCACUUUUACCGUUUCCUAACUAGUAAGCUGAAGACCCUUUUCUGAUUUUAUUUGUAUCACCUUUUCUAAUGUAUAAAAUAAGUGACAGAAUCAUGUAAUCUCGUGCUGAAGCCAAUGUUUUGCUAUAUCAGGCUCAAUGUUAUAUGAUCCGACAGUGCCUAUAUCAUUGGGCCUCGCUUGGAUUCUGAUUAAUUUAAUACAUUGGCCCAUAGUCCUAAAUGGAUCCUACCAUCGUCAAAGGACGGAAAAAUAAGUGUUUAUUCCCAUGGAUUAAUGAGAUUUAAACAACGAAUUUUGGAACGGGCCAGCAACGACAGCCAUAUUUCUUUAUGACCGAUAUCUAUUGUUUCCACAAAAAAUAAAUAAAUAAAAUAAAAUAAAAUAAAAAUUGAAACCUUUCAAAAUAUCCAAACAUUGAAAAUAUAGAAUCAUAUGGAAUCUUUUCAAAGUAUUUUUGCAUUUAAAGUAAUUUGUUUUCAGUUUGAAAAUAUAGAAGUAGGGUCACGAAGACAAGUUAGAAGUAGGUGAAUAACACCACCAAAUAGCCCCUGCCUUCAUGAUACAAAACUUAAAUUUUGCUAGACUUUCAUCAAAGGUCACUGCAAUUUCCAUCUUGAUAAACCAGAUUGAAAAUGAAAUCGAAGCCGAGCUGCAAUUCUAGUGGUCCACUUGAAAGUGAGGAUAUAUGAUGUCAAGGAUGAUGUGAAGUACUUUCUGCAAGAUAAAAAUACCUUAAAUGAAAAAAAAGAAAUUCAGACGCAAGGGUUAGGACAAAAACAGAAAAUAGGAACUUGCAAAGCAUAUCAGGUUCACCUGUCUGGUCUUCAAUUUCCGUUCGGAAAGAACAAAAAGGAAAGAGAUUUUCCACAAAUAUAGGGUCAAAUUAACCUAAAUCUAUCAUUAGCACCAACCAAAAUUGAUAGUCAAGUGUAGCGAUGAAGCCACCAUAGUAAUGUUCCAAGCAUCAAGAGGACUACAUUGACACUAAUCCUGCAGAGAAAGUUACAUAUGUACGGAAAUUGAUAAAACCGUCAAAGCCUAUAAUGGACGCUACGCCAAGUACCAAUAGCUCCAAAUCCGGGAGGUCUCUUCACGCCAUCACCCGUAGCCAAGGGCCUAGGACCCACCGACACAGUCGAUAAGGCUUUUUUGAUAAAGACAUACAACCAAUGUGAUUCGUAUAUAUAGGGAAUAAAUCAACGCGGUAAUCUAGAGCUUAGUCCCUUGACUAACAAGUCGGUUCAGCAUCUGUGUGGAAUGAGGGCAUUUUGUUGAAGAUACUAACUUCAAGAUUAGCUUAGACAAGAGCAGGAAUAUCAAGAAAAUUGGACCAAGCAUCGUGAAAAGAAAAUCUUGUUGGUUCGGCUUUCCAAUGUAUGAAUGACUUUGACUCUUGGUUUCUUCCUUUGUUGUUGAAUAGAGCAGUUAAAACUGUGUUCUUGCUUUACCAAUGUCCAGUCCGCCUAUGUUUCAAGUCUAGCUUGAUCACUCAACGUACGAUCUUGAGUUGGAGUGCUCACUGCUCAGAUUCAUUGUAUGUUAUUUAGUUGGACCAGUAGCGUCUUCUUCACUCUAGGGUAUGCCCGUACUCGUCCAUUGGUCUCGGCAUUCGAACUUAAAUAAGACCUCUCGUAUGAUGCCGGCCUAAAUGCUUCUAUCUGCGUAUUCCAUGAAAAUGCCCUGGUCUCAGUAAGUUUCCACAUAUUACUCUGCGCGUUUUUUGACUCCUUCUUUGAGAUCUCUUACCUCACCCUCACUCCAAGCACACACAGAUAUAUACUUCCCCUGUGAAUUAUGUUUCUAAACCUGUCCGCUCGAACCUUGUUUGGUACAGCCUGGAUAGCAACAACGGUAGUCCAUGAUCGUUCACACGCCCAAUUUUCUUGCUUUGCUUAUCUCUCUGCACCACCCACCUCCGUCUUGGCUCCAACACCAUCUCCACCAACCAGUCCCUCUCCGGCAACCAAACCUUAAUCUCCUCUAGCCGCUGUUAAAGAGACAGAACAAAGAAGAGUAGAACAGAAGCUGAUAGAAGCAAAGAGGAGUAGAGCAAACUUGAAGAAAAGAUGAAAGAUGAGCUGGCCAACUAUAAAGAAGUUGAAGAAACAUAAGCUGACCUGGUGAUCCGUAGAAAAGCUGAGUUGGCAAUCCUUGUGAAGAAUCUGAAUAUACAAGCUGAUCAAAUGGAGCUGCACGUGUGUCACGUUUAAUCAUUCUGUUACUAAAGUUGUUAUUUCUGGUUUGCCCUUUAGUAUAAAAGGAUUUGAAGAAAACUGUUGUACGAGUAUGAUUCAUUCUGCUGAAAGCUUGAAUUACUCUGUUCUCUGAAUUUCCUCUGUUCUUCUCGAAGUUCUCUCUGUUCUUUUUGUAUCUUUGUUCUUCUUCAUAUAGCAGAACCUUGUAAGAUUGAAUGAGAAGAAAGGUUGAAGGAAAUAUUCAAUUGAUGUAUUGCAACUGAUUGUUCAGCAAUUACAGAAUACAGAAAUCUCUUGAAUACAGGUUCUUCUCUAGAUUCUGUUUCUUCUCAUGGUAUCAGAGCAUGUUUCCUGGGAGUUCUAGAUCUAAUAUGUGUUACUGAAAGUCUGUGUGAAAGAUCACAUGAACAAGACAUUACGAAGAUCUUGUUGAUUUCUCAAUAAGCUGAUUUUCGCAAUUUACUUGAUUGUUCCUCGCAUCUUCAAAGUUUCCUAAAGAAAUAGUAUGGCAACGAGAGUGCAGAAGUAUCCUUUUCCUAUCCAUGUGAAUAUAGCCAACUUUGUUACAAUCAAGUUGAAUGAAGAGAAUUUUCUGUUAUGGCAAGCGCAAUUUAGCAGGUUUAUGAAAAGUCAAGAUUUGAUUGGCUUUAUUAAUGGUGAAACAUUAUCACCUGCUCAAAUGAUGCAAACUGAGAUUGGAGAAGUGAUGAAUCCUGAUCACCUGGAAUGGACAAAAACCGAUCAACUAAUCUCAUCAUGGAUAAGCGGUGCAGUAUCAAAGAAUAUUUUAAGCUUGAUAAUUGGCUUAGAAACUUCAUUCGAGGUAUGGCAGGCUCUUAUAAACCGGUUUACUCAGAAGUCUGUAGCAAAAGAAUUUGAGUUAAGAUGAAAAUUACAGGCUUGUAGGAAGAGAGAUAGACCAUUAAGUGAAUACCUUCGAGAAUUUAAAACUAUCUGUGAUCAAUUGAAUGCAAUUGGAAAGCCUGUUGAUGAUAUAAUCAGGAUGUUUGGCAUACUUGAAGGGUUAGGUUCUGAAUAUGAAACCUUUAGAACAACCAUGUACUGUCUUAAACCCCAGCCAGAGUAUGAUGAGGUUAUCUCCCAACUUGAGAGAUUUGAAACUAGAUUGCAAACAUAUUCUAUGAACCAGUACAAUACUAACCUGGCAUAUUAUGGACAAAGAAAGACUGAAACAGGUCUGCAGAGGUUUAAUUCUAGUAAUCAAGGAGGAAGUAUUCAAGGGGGAUACAACUCUGGCAGAGGACAGUUCAUUAAUAGAAGAGGUCGUGGAAAUAAUUUUACUGGAACAGGAAGGAAUCAAUAGAAUACUCUGAACUUGACAAAGCAAUAUCAGGUCAAUAAGGGUAAUUGGUCUAACCAUGGACAAGGGUUUAGACCAUACACAAACUCUUCUCAGAGAUAUCAAGGUGUUAGAUCCUAUCCACCUCAAGGGUCAAAUGGUGAUAAGCUCGUACAAGAUACAAAGCCAAUGAAUAAUGGUCCUCUGGAAUGUCAAAUCUGUAAGAGAUCAGGUCAUACAGCACUUAGAUGCUGGUAUCGCUUUGAUAAUUCAUAUCAAGCAGAUGAAAUACCAACUGCUCUAGCAGCUAUGCAUAUUGAAGAACCAUAUGGCUCUGAAUGGUAUCCAGACACAUGGGCUACAUCACACAUUACAGCAGAUGCUGGUAUGAUUCAAAACUAUGUUGCAUAUAGUGGUAAUGAUACAAUUAUGAUAGGAGAUGGGUCCUAUUUAUCAAUCUCAUGUAUUGGUAAUGGAACCUUAAAUACAGCAACUAGUAUAUUACCACUAAAUGAUGUUUUAAUAGUCCCUGGUCUUUUAUAUUUGACAAACAUGGGGUAUAUAUGAAGGACAAUUACAAUCAUACAACAGUGAAGCUAGGAAGGAAAAUCAAGGGGCUGUAUCAAGUGGAAUCUAGAGGAACAGAAGCUUUCUUCACUCAGGCUCAACAUGAAGUAGGAGAAGAUGUCUGGCAUCAAAGACUUGCUCAUACCAGCUUAAAAACAGUAAAGAUUCUGCAGAGUCAACAUCUAAUUCAAUAUAAGUCGAAUGCUCCAAGUAUGUGUAGCAGCUGUCAAAUUGCUAAGAGCUCAGCUUUGCCCUUUCCUAUCUCAGAACAUAUCUCUAAUGUUCCUCUAGAAAAGAUACAUUGUGAUGUAUGGGGACCAUCACCAAUUUCAUCUGUUCAGAAGUUUCAUUACUAUGUCAUCUUUGUGGAUGAUUUCUCUCGAUAUAGCUGGAUAUAUCCAAUGAGACAGAAGUCAGAAGUAUAUGACGUGUUUGUUUUGUUUCAAAGACUAGUAGAGAAUCAACUCGAUCACAAGAUCAAAGUGUUUCAAAGUGAUGGAGGAGGAGAAUUCACAAACAUCAAAUUUCAUAAUCAUCUACAACAGUGUGGGAUUAAACAUAACAUCUCUUGUCCUUAUACACCAUAACAAAAUGGUGUCUCCGAGAGGAAGCAUCGACAUGUGGUUGAAUUGGGUCUAGCAAUGCUGUAUCAUGCAAGAGUACCAUUAAAAUACUGGGUAGAUGCCUUCAUGACAGCAGUCUAUGUAAUCAAUAUGCUCCCCACAACAAAACUGAAUAUGAACUCACCUCACUAUAAGCUGUACAAACAGAGACCAAAUUAUGCUCAUCUACGGGUUUUUGGAUCAGCUUGUUAUCCUUGCCUCAGAUCCUAUACAAAGCAUAAAUUUGAUCCAAGGUCUCUCAUGUGUAUAUUUCUUGGAUACAGUGAGAAACAUAAAGGCUACAUGUGUCUUUUGCCUACUAAUGGACGUGUCUAUAUUAGUAGACAUGUAGUUUUUUAUGAAAAAGAAUUGCCCUUUACUCGAAAAACUACUUCUGAAUAUCGACAAGGAUCUGAACUAUACAAGCAUUGGAUAAGAAGUUCAGCAUCUACUACAUCCAAUACUACCAAACAGAUUCAGCCACAAGCCAAUAAAUCAAGUGAAUCUUUGCAGAGUACUAGAUCAAGUCAGAUCACUCCAGAAAUACAGAACAGUGAGAUCAGCAAUGUAAAUCAUGCAGUUAUGCCACAAAUGAACAUAGUACCUAAUGCUGAGCUUCAGAUCACUCCUGAUAAUGCAUUCAAUAAUGUUGAAACACCUCAGAUAUCUCCAGAUAUUGAACAACAAGUGUCUAUCAGUCAGGAAUCUGACUCGACAUCUCCUGCUAACAUAGAACAACCACAAAUUAGUCCUAUAUCAGAAGUCACACAAGGUACAUUAUCUACUCAUCCUAUGCAGACUAGACUAAGAUCUGGGAUUAUUAAAGCAAAUCCCAAAUAUGCAUGUUUGGUUGAAUAUCAGGUUCCAAUUGAACCAAAGUCAGUAAAAUUUGCAUUAGCACACACAGGAUGGUGUCAAGCAAUGCAUGAAGAAAUGGAUGCUUUAUAUCAAAACAAAACCUGGGAGUUAGUCCCUAGAAAUGAUCAAAUGAAUGUUAUUGGCUGCAAAUGGGUGUUUAAAACUAAACUUGCACCAGAUGGCAGUUUAGAUAGACUGAAAGCUCGACUUGUAGCCAAAGGUUUUCAUCAAGAAGAAGGUCUUGAUUUCACAGAAACCUAUAGUCCUGUAGUAAAGCAUGCUACAACCCGAAUAAUUCUCUCAGUAGCAAUGGUAAAACAGUGGCCAAUUCAUCAGUUAGAUGUUAAAAAUGCCUUCUUACAUGGUAACUUGAGUGAAACAGUUUAUAUGGAACAGCCACUAGGUUUUAAAGAAUCACAGAGACCUCAUCAUGUUUGUCUUCUUAGAAAAUCCCUCUAUGGACUUCGACAAGCCCCUCGAGCUUGGUUUGACAAGUUCAGCAGUUUCUUACUAGAAUAUGGGUUAUUUUGUAGCUCAACUGAUCCUUCCUUGUUCAUUCUUCAUGCUGGUAAAGAAACAAUCCUCUUACUACUAUAUGUUGAUGAUAUCCUUUUAACUGGAAGCUCAUCUCAAGUUUUCUCUGGUCUCAUUACUGCUCUAAGUCUUCAGUUUCAUAUGAAGGAUCUUGGUUCACUACACUAUUUCCUUGGCAUUGAAGUUAAGCGUACCCCUGACCAUUUGUUCCUUUGCCAAGCCAAAUAUGCUAUAGAUCUUCUCACCCGAACCCAUAUGCUCGAGUCUAAACCAAUUUCAACUCCCCUUUCAUUAAGACCAACCAUUUUGAUCAAUGACUCUAUGGCCUUGUCAAAUCCUGCUAAGUAUAGAAGCAUUGUUGGUGGCCUCCAAUACCUCACCUUAACUCGGCCAGACAUUGCCUAUGCCACUAAUCUACUCUGCCAGAAAAUGCAGAAACCUACCAUUGCAGAUCUCCAUAGAAUGAAAAGAGUACUGAGAUAUGUUAAAGGUACAAUCCACUUUGGCUUAUUCAUUCAUUCACAAAGCACCAUGCAUCUCUAUGGAUUCUCAGAUGCAGACUGGGCUGGAUGUACUGAAACCAGAAGAUCAACAACUGGAUUUUGCACAUAUCUUGGCUCCAAUCUCAUCUCUUGGGCAGCAAAGAAACAGCCAACAGUUAGUAGGUCUUCUACAGAGGCUGAGUACCGUGCACUUGCAUUGAGUACCGUGCACUUGCAUCAACCACUGCUGAUCUCACUUGGAUCAGCUUUGUCUUACGAGACAUCGGUUGUUCUCUUACUCCUCCAAUUCAUCUAUACUGUGACAAUAAAUCAGCUAUCUCACUCACUGUUAAUCCUGUCUUACAUGCUCGAACAAAACAUAUUGAAGUAGAUUUUCACUUUGUUCGAGAAAAUGUAUCUUCUGGGUCGUUACAUGUAAAAUAUAUUCCCAGUAAUUACCAACUUGCUGAUAUCUUUACAAAACCUUUGUCAAGAAUAGCACAUUCUCAUCUACGAGUCAAAUUGGGAAUUUGUACUCUUCCCAUUCCCAAUUUGAGGGGGAUGUUAAAGAGACAGAACAAAGAAGAGUAGAACAGAAGCUGAUAGAAGCAAAGAGGAGUAGAGCAAACUUGAAGAAAAGAUGAAAGAUGAGCUGGCCAACUAUAAAGAAGUUGAAGAAACAGAAGCUGACCUGGUGAUCCGUAGAAAAGCUGAGUUGGCAAUCCUUGUGAAGAAUCUGAAUAUACAAGCUGAUCAAAUGGAGCUGCACGUGUGUCACGUUUAAUCAUUCUGUUACUAAAGUUGUUAUUUCUGGUUUGCACUUUAGUAUAAAAGGAUUUGAAGAAAACUGUUGUACGAGUAUGAUUCAUUCUGCUGAAAGCUUGAAUUACUCUGUUCUCUGAAUUUCCUCUGUUCUUCUCGAAGUUCUCUCUGUUCUUUCUGUAUCUUUGUUCUUCUUCAUAUAGCAGAACCUUGUAAGAUUGAAUGAGAAGAAAGGUUGAAGGAAAUAUUCAAUUGAUGUAUUGCAACUGAUUGUUCAGCAAUUACAGAAUACAGAAAUCUCUUGAAUACAGGUUCUUCUCUAGAUUCUGUUUCUUCUCAGCCGCAACUUCAAGCUCGGCUUCUUCACACCAGGUAACUCCUCGUACUCCUACAUAGGCAUCUGGUACAACAAAAUCAGCGUGCAAACGGUCGUCUGGGUCUCCAACAGAGACAACCCUGUCACCGAUAGGUACUCCACUGAACUUAAGAUCUCGGGUGGAAAUCUUGUAAUGGUCAACGACUCUGAAGUCCCCGUUUGGUCCACGAAUCUGACUCCUUCAUCUGGGUUGAGCUCCACGGUGGCGGUUCUUGGGGAUGAUGGCAACUUCGCUCUCAAAGACGGGCUGAAUUCUUCCGUGACUCUGUGGCGAGCUUCGAUCACCUGACGCACACGUGGCUUCGGGGUGCGAAAAUGGGAAUCGACAAGCGCACGAGCACGAGUCAGCUAUUGACAUCAUAGAAGAACGCCGAGGAUCCUUCGACAGGUUUGUUCUCUUUCCAGCUCGAGCCAUCUAGUGAGUACUACAUAUGGUGGAAUAGGAAUGAGCAUUACUGGACCACUGGGGUGUGGGACGAAAAUUUUCUCUUUGGUCCCUGAAAUGAGAUUGAACUAUAUUUACGAUUUCAAAGUUGUGGACAACGAGAACGAGAGCUACUUCACCUAAGUGUACACCAAUGCCAACACCAUAUCAAGGUUUGUGAUGGAUUUUCUGGGCAGAACAAGAUGGUGUCCUGGUUGCCUUCUUCACUAGCGUGGAACUUGUUCUGGUCUCAGCCCCAGCAACAAUGCGAGGUGUAGAGACUUUGCGGGCCUUUUGGUGUUUGCAGCGAGGGUACUGACAAUUUCUGCAGCUGCUUGCCAGGGUUUAGCAUCAGCUCUCUGAGUGAUUGGUCUGGCAGCUGCAAGAGGAUUCGGACUUGAAUUGUGCGGCAAAUGCUUCAAAUGCGGAGAAAGACCAUUUCUUGCUAAGGUCGAACAUGAAAUUGCCUGAUGAUCCCCAAUCUUUAGUUGUCCGGAGCAAUCAGGAAUGCCGAGCUGCUUGUUUGAGCAAUUGCUCUUGCACGGCUUAUGCUUUCAAGGAUAAUGCCUGCUCAAGUUGGAUUGGGGAUCUCUUCAAUGCACAACAGCUCGCACAAGGCGAUACCACUGGAAGUAGCUCCUAUCUCGGGCUUGUUGCCUCCACCGUUGAGGAUCCAAGCAAGAAGAGCAAUGUGAGUGCCGUGGUUGCUGGGUCUGUUAGCACCACGAUAGCCAUAUUAGCCAUUGUCUUGUUCGGCGUUUGGAGAUGGAGGAGAAGGGCAAUUGUAACAACAAAGACAGUGGAGGGUUCACUGAUAGCUUUUGUAUACAGGGACUUGCCAGUAGCAACAAAGAAUUUCUCAGAGAAGUUGGGUGGGGGCAGGUUCGGUUCAGAUUUUAAAGGAACAUUCCCGAUUCAAUUCACAUAGUGGUCAAGAAGCUUGAAAGCAUAAGCCAAGGAGAGAAGCAAUUCGGAACAGAAGUAAUCACAAUCGGCACCAUCCAGCAUGUGAAUCUUGUCAGGCUUCGUGGGUUCUGCUCUGAAGGUUACACAAGGCUGUUGGUCUACAAUUUCAUGCCAAAUGGUUCUUUAGACUAUCAUGUCUUUCGUAGAAAGGACUCGAAGACCUUGGAUUGGAAAACGAGGUACCAAAUUGCUUUGGGAACGGCUCGAGGUCUGGCUUAUCUCCAUGAAAAGUGCAGAGACUGCAUCAUAUAUUGUGACAUCAAGCCAGAGAACAUCCUUCUAGAUGCUGAUGUAUGUCCAAAAGUGGCAGAUUUUGGCAUGGCAAAGCUUGUUGGCCGAGAUUUCAGCAGGGUGUUGACAACCAUGAGAGGCACAAGAGGGUAUCUUGCGCCGGAGUGGAUCUCUGGAGUGGCCAUAACAGUAAAAUCUGAUGUUUAUAGCUAUGGGAUGAUGCUUUUUGAGUCCAGAGUGGAUCUCUGGAGUGGCCAUAACAGUAAAAUCUGAUGUUUAUAGCUAUGGGAUGAUGCUUUUUGAGUUUGUGUCGGGAAGGAGGAACUUAGAGCUAUCGAAAAAUGGGGCCAUCAAGUUCUUCCCAACAUGGGCUGCUAGUAAAUUAGCCGAAGGAGGUGACCUGCUUAAUCUUUUGGACCCAAACUUGAUGGCAAAUGCCAAUACUGAAGAGCUAACUAGGAUUAGCAGAGUCGCUUGUCGGUGUGUCCAAGAUGAGGAAACUCACAGGCCAUCGAUGGGGCAGGUUGUUCAAAUACUCGAGGGGGUGUUGGAUGUGAUCCUGCCCAGGAUACCGAGUCCUUCAACUGUUUCUUAGUAAUCAGGAGCAUGGAGUUUUUUUCACUGAGUCGUCAUCGUUGAACCAGAGUUCCCAGAUGAGGAGUAACAACCUAAAAUGCUUCCUUGCAGAAGCAAAAUAGUUCAUCUUCAACAAAGUCCAAGUCUUGAGGAUGAUAAGAUAAGAGCUUAGUACAAGAAGUGCUUCAGUUAGUGCAUAUACUCUUCUACUUUUUCUGUAGUCAACAAAGAAUCUCAGCAUUUGGGGAUUGGCUUUCUUGGGGCUUUUUUCCCUAGCUAUUUUUGUUACAUAUAUACAAGCAAGCUUGGAUGACCGGUUGUAAAGACCCUUCACCUGUAUAAUGAUCUGUUCUCUGCUUUUUGAGAUCCAAGGUGAUAUUGGAAAUUAGCAUCGAAAACUUUCUGAUAAUUUUGGCACUGGAAUUGGGAUCUAACGUAUUGGUAUCUCCUAGCUUGGAUCCCAGCUGGUGCCUCACAUGGUUCUCAAAUCUGCCCCCAUCGCAUGCAAAGCAAGCUGUAAGGCUUGGCAUUUCUAAUUUAUAACUCCUUUUGCUACUUGCUUGGUUUAUACAAUGAGUCAUGGUAUGAAAAUCACCCUUGAAACUACGGCUUGCUAGGACCGGAAUAUUAUAUCAUGAUAAUUUCCAACUGAUCUAUGUAUUACUAGCAGAUCCUAAUGUUGAAGCUGUAGGAUGUUAAUGCCCGCUCCAUUUUUCACAUAGCAUUUAUAUCUCUUCUAAGGUUGAGUUUUUUUAAUCACCUCAUCGCUUUAUGUUUCGAAUAUGAGUACUCGAACCUUUUAGCAAAACUGAUUUAUAACGUGAUGGAUGAGACUUUUGUUGGGUGCUCUUACUCAAUUUAUAAGUUCUGUAAAACCAAAUUCAGUAUCUCAAUGUUACUUGUUAAAAAUCUCUAUUGUUUGUUCUGGUGGGAAAUUGGUUGAGUUUCUCAUUUCAAUCGGGUUGAUUCAAACAGUAUUUUCCAUUGCAAGAGGGGAUUAAAUGCAAGUCCAAGUCCACUUUAAUUUAUCGUUGAAGAAGCCUGUUUUGGAAGGCCUAGCUUUUAUUUUUCAGUUCAUAAUCUAUUCAUAUCAAGGCUAAUCUUGUUCGGCCUUCACAAUACCAUAGUCCCCUCACUUUUGCCAAGCUUCGCCUCAUUUGUUUUUCCUUGUUGCCAUUACACCUUUUUCUUUUCCUUUCUCCUAUACACAAUUCUUUAAAUACUUUCAAUAUGAUGUGUUGUUUUUUUUUUUUUUUGGUAAGGUCGAUAUGAUGUGUUGUUUCACUUUUCUUGUGGUAAUUAUUUUACUCUUAUUGUUGAUCCUUCUCUAGUGAGGAAAAAAUACCAAAAAAGUCAUAAAUAUAUUACAUUGGUACCAAUUUAAUGUUAAACUUUUUCACAUUAGUACUAAUUCAGUCAAUCUGGCCAAUUUUGGUUGGCCAGUGUUGAUGUGCACGUCGACCAAAAUUAGGCUGAUGGACUGAAUUGGUACCAAUAUAAAAAAAAAUUAGGAUUGAAUUGGUCUAAUUAAAAGAUUUAGAACUGAAUUGAUUUCAAUGCAAUAGGUUUAUGACUUUUUUUUUUAUACUUUUCCCUUCUCAGAUGCUAGAGGUGCUAUUAUAAUAUCUUAACUUCCUUUAGCAAUAAAAAGACGUGUAAUCUGCUUAAAUCUUUAUUUAGUUGUGCUUCUACAAAAAUCAACCCUCUCUAUGAUCAUUUAUUUUAAAGUUAUAUCUCAAAUUUGAAUUCGUGAAAGAAAUCUGACUAGAGAUGAAUUGUAAGAAACUAGGUCAAUUAAGGAAAAUCCUAAAGCCGAAUAUUUCUGGACGUCGGUAAAGGAAAUCUAGAUUUCAUAUUUGGCGUCAGAGUCCAAAGUGCAAAUUUGGACCUUAAGUUGCCGAUUCGUUAACUCCAACAAAAGGCCAGAACUUGUAGAUUAUGAAAAUCAAUUUCCGCAUGGGAGUUGGUCAACACAACAACCGAACAAGAAAGAUCGGAGUUGGACUGGGUUUCCUUCUUCAAUCGGUCAACUUGGCUAUUAUAUACGGAAUAACACCUUGAAAAAUCCAAAAUUGACAUAUUUAUAACAAAUUUACCAAAAUCUAAAUUUAUUCAAAUUUGUACACCUACGAUAAAUUCACCUUAAAUAAUUUUUUUAACUAUAAAAAAUCUCAAACUAGCACAUUUGUCACAAAUAGAGAGUAAAAUCCAAAAUUGAUACAACAUUAAUUGUCAAAUGUCAUUCAAUUCAACAAUUUGAUAAUAAAAUUUGAAGGAAAUUAAUGGACGGUAAAUUUGUUACAAGUAUAUCAAAGUUUUAGAUAAAUUUUAUUACUGGUUCACGAUUUAUUAUGAAAUUACCAUAAAUAUAAAUAUACAAUUGUGGAUUGCUCCGUUGGUUAUGAAGAAAUAUUAAAGUGUAGUUCUUAGUGAAUGUCAAGGGAAGUUCUAUAUUUGUUAGUGACGGCCAAUUGGCACUGCAGGUUUGGUAGUGGGUUCUUCACGGAAUAACAUUAAUAGCUUAUGUGUUGGACUCAAUUAAAUCUUGUGAGGAUUUAUUUAAUUCAUUUUUGAGAUUGAGAUAUUAUUUCGUGAAGAAUUGUAAGUUUAAAUACUACGUGAAUUAUUGAGUAUAAUUGGAUCUUGGAAAACAUAAUAAUGUUUGAGUAAUUUGAGUCUGGUUGUACUUUUCAUUGGAUUUGCUCGAUCUAGAGUGAAUUCUUUGCUGCUCUCUCAAUUGACAUAUGUCACAUCAAUAGAAUCAUUUAAAUUUGGUGUCCAAUUUAUUUUCUUAUUUUGUCUAUUUCAUUGUUCGAUCAGUUAGAUUUCACAAUAAUUUAAAAGAUGAAGGCAUUGAUAAAUGGUCUCUCUACUUUUGCUCAACAAUCAAAGUCAUUCUUUUAAUAUAUUUUAAGAAAAAAAUCACAAAAACUCCAUAUUUUGUCGAUUGUGAUAUAUUUACUCUAAACUAUUUUUGGUGACACCAAAAACUCUAAAUUUAUACUUGUAUGACACAUUUAUCCUAAUUUUUUUUCUAUAACACCAAAGUUUUUGGGGUUAAUAUGUCACAUCAUACAAAUUUGAAGUUUUAGGUGGCACAUUAUAUAAGUUUAGAGUAAAUAUGCAAUAUAAGUAUGAAUUUGGAGUUUUUGGUGUCAUAAAAUAAGUUUGGGAUAUAUAUAUCACUCUAAAUAUAAUUUAGAGUUUUCGGUGAUUUUACAUUUCUUUGGAUUUGAAACCGUUCUUGCACUUAAGUGCCAUUGGUCGUCCCUGUGUUGGAACACUAUUAGCUAUUUUUUGGUGUCAAUUUUUAUUUUAUUUGUUGAGGAUUUUUCUUUCUUUCUCCAAAUGUAGGCUGUCUUUCUCCUUUUUAGGUUAUUCAUUUUACGAAAACUAAAACCCACAAAAUAUAUUGCCUACACUAAUGCAAAAACACGAUUAUUUGUAUAGACUCAAGACAAGCAAUUGAGUAGCUAUGGGCAGUGAGCUCUGUGGCUCAUGACUUGAGCAAAUAUGACUGCUACAAGAUCAAAGCUCAUGCGGCAAUGCCAUGAGCUCAAAGAUUAAGUAGCCAUGGCUCAAGCUUUGUGACUCAAAUAGACAUCAUGGCCAUGGCCAUCUGCGAGCUUGAGCUUGAAUAGCCAUGGCCAAUGCUAACUUAGAGUUGGAGCUCAUGGUAAUAGUGGGUCAUAAUGGAGCUCUCUCGUAAUUGUGCCCAUUUUUCUUUUUUAAUGUUUAUGUUGCCUAAUUUAGCACCUGUUUUUCCUAAAAUAAUUAUAUGAGCGGAGUACCACACAAUAGGUAUGCUGGCAUCUUGUUCAUAAAAAUUGAAUGGCAAAGUAUAACGGAAUGAUUAGUGGUGAUACUUCAAGCCACAAAAAAAUCUUAAGCUUUAUCAACUGUGACACAUUUAUUCCAAUUUUUUUUUGUAACAUCAAAAAUCCCAAACUCGUACACGUGUAGUAAUACAUUUAUCCAAAACUUUUUUUUUUUACACCAAAAAACCCAAACUUAUACUUUUGUAACAUCAAAACCCUAAACUUUUGUUUUGUAACAAUAAAAACCCGAGACUAAUAGUCAAGUCACACAUCUACCCCAAAAAUUUGGUGUCAUAGAAAAAAGUUUGAGGUAUUUGGUGUCACAAAAAGAAAAGUUUGAGGUUUUUUAUGUCACAAAACAAAAGUAUGGAGUAAAUGUGUGACACUGCAAUAUUUUGAGAUAAAUGAGUCACAUAGGUAAAAGUUUGAAAUUUUUAAUAUUACAAAAAAAAAAUAGUUUGGGGUAAAUAUUUCACAAUGGUCAUAAUUUAAGGUUUCUUGUGGCUUUUACCAUACUUUUAAAUAGUAGAGAGAUGCUUUAAAAAAAGUAGAGGGGAUUUUGAUUUUCAGGCUAAAAUAUAAGGGCCACCGGUAAAUCGAAUCCAUAAAGAAAGUGGCAUAUGUAUAGGAAUUGAUAAAACAGUAAAAGAUUAUAAUGGACACAUCGCCAAGUACCAUCGCUCCAAGUCCAACCAGAGAGGCCUCUUCACACCAACACGUAUGGCCAUGACAAAGUCUAUAAGGUUUUUCUAGUAAAGGCACACAACCGUGAUGUUACAUAUAUAUAAAUUGGGAAAAAAAAUCAAUGUGUCGCUCUAGAGUUUUCCCUCGACAAACAGGUCAGCUCAGCAUGCGUGGAACAAGCACAUUUUGUUGAAGAUAUUGGCCUCAAGUCUACCUUAGACAAUAGUAGGGACCAUAAGAAUAUUGGACAAUGCUACAUGAAAAUCAAACCUUGUCGGUCCAGCUUUUCAAAUAUAUGAAUGACUUUGACACAUGGAUUUGUUCCUUUGUUGUUGACUGAUGCUGGUAAAACUAUGUUUAAAGUCCUGCUUGAUCACUCAAAUGUUUGAUGUUGAGUUUGAGUGUUCUCAUUGCAUGUUAUUCCAGUGUAUGAUGAGGACAUGUCCAAGUUGCACCACUAGCGUCUUCUUCACUCUGGGAUAUGCUCAUCCUUGUCCACUGGUAUGAUGCCUGCUUAAACGCUUCUAUCUAGGUACUCCAUGACAAUGCGCUAGUCUCAGUUGAAGUUUCCCCACGGCACUUUGCGCGUUUCUUGACCCGUUCUUCUUUGAGAUCUCUUUCCUCACCCUUGCGCCGAGCACAAACGAGUAUAUAUACUUUUCCCUGUGAAUCUUGUUUCUACACAUGUAAUCCUAUAUGGUAAAGCCAUGGAUAGCAAAAACAGUAGUCCAUGGUCGUUCAUACUCCCAAUUUUCUUGCUUUGCUCAUCUCUGUACACCCACCUCUGUCUUGGCACAGACAAACUCGAUGCGAAUUGAUCUAUAUCUGGUAACUCAAACCUUAACCUCCUCGGGUGGCCACUUUACACUUGGCUUCUUCUCGCCGGGUAACUCCACGUACUCCUACAUAGGCAUCUGGUACAACAAAAUCAGCGUGCAAACCGUCGUCUGGGUCGCCAACCGAGACAACCCUAUCACUGACAGGCAAUCCACUGAGCUGAAGGUCUCGGGUGGCAAUCUUGUGAUUCUUAACAACUCCGAAGUCCCCGUUUGGUCCACGAAUCUGACUGCUUCUGCAUCUGGAUCGAGCUCCAUGGUGGCGGUUCUUGAGGACGACGGCAACUUCGCUCUCAAAGCGGCUCCGACUUCUUCCGUGACUCUGUGGCAGAGCUUCGAUUACCCAACGCACACGUGGCUUCCCGGUGCCAAAUUAGGGAUCGACAAGCGCAAAAACAGGAGUCAGCUCUUGACAUCAUGGAAGAACGCUGAGGACCCUUCGACAGGUUUGUUCUCUCUCGGUCUCCAGCCAUCCAGUGAGUGCUACGUAAGGUGGAAUAAGUCUGAGCAUUACUGGAGCAGUGGGGCGUGGGACAAUCAGACGAAAAGUUUCUCUUGGGUCCCUGAAAUGAGAUUGAACUAUAUUUAUGAUUUCAAGUAUGUGGACAAUGAGAACGAGAGCUACUUCACCUAUUCAAUCAAAAGCUCCUUCAACACCAUAUCAAGGUGUGUGAUGGACCUUUCUGGGCAGGUCAAGAUGGUGUCCUGGUUGCCUUCCCAGGUGUGGACCUUGUUCUGGUCUCAGCCCCCGCAACAAUGCAAGGUGUAUAGACUUUGUGGGCCUUUCAGUGUUUGCAGCGAGCAGAGAGAAGAUUCGUGCAGCUGCUUGCAGGGAUUUAGCAUAAGCUCUCCAAUAGAUUGGAAUCGGAGUGAUUGGUCUGGUGGUUGCAAGAGGAAUUCGAACUUAAAUUGUGCAGCGAAUGCGGAGAAAGACCGAUUCUGGCCUAUGUCUAACAUGAAAUUGCAUGAUGCUCCUCAAUCUUUAGUUGCAGGGAGCGAUCAGGAAUGCCGAACUGCUUGUUUGAGCAAUUGCUCUUGCACGGCUUAUGCUUUCGAGGAUAAUGCCUGCUCAAUCUGGAUUGGGGAUCUCUUCAAUGUGGAACAGCUCAAACAAGGCACUACCCCUAGAAGGAGUUUCUACGUCCGGCUUGCUGCCUCCGAAAUUAAGGAUCCCAGCAAGAAGAGUAAUGUAACUGCAACAGUGGCAGGGUCUAUCGGUGCCGUGGUAGCGAUAUUAGCCAUUGUCUCGUUUGCCGUUUGGAGAUGGAGGAGAGGGGCAACUGUAACAACAAAAAUAGUGGAGGGUUCACUGAUAGUCUUUGCAUACCGGGAGUUGCAAGUAGCAACAAAGAAUUUCUCAGAGAAGUUGGGUGGGGGUGGGUUCGGUUCAGUUUUCAAAGGAACAUUACCUGAUUCAAGUCACAUAGCAGUCAAGAAGCUUGAAAGCAUAAGCCAAGGUGAGAAGCAAUUCCGAACGGAAGUAAGCACAAUCAGCACUAUCCAGCAUGUGAAUCUUGUCAGGCUUCGCGGAUUCUGCUCUGAAGGUGACAAGAGGCUGUUGGUCUACGAUUUCAUGCCAAAUGGUUCCUUAGGCUAUCAUCUCUUUCAUAGAAAGGACUCGAAGACCUUGGAUUGGAAAACGAGGUACCAAAUUGCUUUGGGAACAGCUCGAGGUCUGGCUUAUCUCCAUGAGAAGUGCAGAGAUUUCAUCAUACAUUGUGAUAUCAAGCCAGAGAACAUCCUUCUAGAUGCUGAAUUCUGUCCAAAAGUGGCAGAUUUUGGCCUGGCAAAGCCUGUUGGCCGAGAUUUCAGCAGGGUGUUGACAACCAUGAGAGGCACAAGAGGGUAUCUUGCGCCGGAGUGGAUCUCUGGAGUGGCCAUAACAGUAAAAGCUGAUGUUUAUAGCAAUGGGAUGAUGCUUUUUGAGUUUGUGUCGGGAAGGAGGAACUUAGAGCUAUCGGAAAAUGGGGCCAUCGAGUUCUUCCCAACAUGGGCUGCUAGCAAGAUAGCUGAAGGAGGUGACAUGCUUGAUCUUUUGGACCCAGACUUGGAGAAAAACGCUGAUACUGAAGAGCUAAAUAGGAUAUGCAGAGUUGCUUGUUGGUGUUGCUUGUUGGUGUGCCCAAGAUGAGGAAACUCACAGGCCAUCGAUGGGGCUGGUUGUUCGAGUACUCGAGGGGUUGUUGGAUGUGAACCUGCCCAGGAUACCGAGAGCCCUUCAACUACUUCUUGAUAAUCAGGAGCACGUAGUUUUCUUCACUGAGUCGUCAUCAUCGAACCGGAGUUCCCAGAUGAGGAGCAACACCUCAACUGCUUCCUUGCAGAAGCAAAAUAGUUCAUCUUCAACAAAGUCCAAGUCUUGAGGAUGAUAAGAUAAGAGCUUAGUACAAGAAGUGCGUCAGUUAGUGCAUAUACUCUUCUGCUUUUUCUGUAGUCAACAAAGAAUCUCAGCAUUUGGGGAUUGGCUUUCUUGGGGCUUGUUUCUCUAGCUAUUUUUGUUACAUAUAACUACAAGCGAGCUUGGAUGACCGGUUGUAAAGACCCUUCGCUCUGUAUAAUAAUCUGUUCUCUGCUUUUUGAGAUCCAAGGUGAUAUUGGUAAUUAGCAUCGAAAACUUUCUGAUAUUUUUGGCACUGGAAUUGGGAUCUAACAUAUUCGUAUCUCCUAGCUUGGAUCCCAGCUGGUGUUUCACAUAGUUCUCAAAUCUGCCCCCAUCGCAUGCAAAGCAAGCUGUAUGGCUUGACAUUUCUAAGUAAUAACUCCUUUUGCUACUUGCUUGGUUUAUACAAUGAGUCAUGGUAUGAAAACCACCCUUGAAACUACGGAUUGCUAGGACCGGAAUAUUAGAUCAUGAUAAUUUCCAACUGAUCUAUGUAUUACUAGCAGAUCCUAUUGUUGGAGCUGUAGGAUGUUAAUGCCCGCUCCAUUUUUCACAUAGCAUUUAUAUCUCUUCUAAGGUUGAGUUUUUUUUAAUCACCUCAUCGCUUUAUGUUUCGAAUAUGAGUACUCGAACCUCUUUAUAAGUUCUGUAAAACCAAAUUCAGUAUAUCAAUGUUACUAGUUAAAAAUCUCUAGUGUUUGUUCCGGUGGGAAAUUGGUUGAGUUUCUCAUUUCAAUCGGGUUGAUCCAAACAGUAUUUUCCAUUGCAGUGGGUAUUAAAUGCAAGUCCAAGUCCACUUUAAUUUAUCGUUGAAGAAGCCUGUUUUGGAAGGCCUAGCUUUUAUUUUCAGUUCAUAAUCUAUUCAUAUCAAGGCUAAUCUUGUUCGGCCUUCACAGUACCAUAGUCCCCUCACUUUUUCCAAGCUUGCCCUCAUUUGUUUUUCCUUUUUGCCAUUACACCUUUUUCUUUUCCUUUCUCCUAUACGCAAUUCUUUAAAUACUUUCGAUAUGAUGUGUUGUUUCACUUUUCUUGCGCCAAUUAUUUUACUCUUAUCGUUUUUUUUUUCUUUAGUGACCCAGGGAACCUCGUGUGCUGCUUCGCGGCAGAGUAAACCCUGGGGAGGAGUAGAGUUACCACCACCCUUGCUCCCAGUGUAAGUUAGCAUGACGCAGCUGGGAUUCGAACGCUGGACUUUUUGCGAGAGGAACAAACGCUUAAGUCAACUACGCCGCAGCGCUGGGUGGUAUUUUACUCUUAUCGUUGAUCCUUCUCAGGUGUGGAAAAAUACCAAAAAAGUCAUAAAUUUUUUGUAUUGGUACCAAUUUAAUGUUAAACUUUUUUACAUUAGUACCAAUUCAGUCCAUCUAGCCAAUUCUGGCCGGCCAAUGUUGAUGUGCACGUCGGCCAAAAUUGGGUUGAUAGACUAAAUUAGUACCAAUGUGAAAAAACUUAGGAUUGAAUAGGUUUAAUUGAAAGAUUUAGAACUGAAUUGGUACCAAUGCAAUAAGUUUAUGACUUUUUUGAUACUUUUCCCUUCUCAAGUGCUAGAGGUGUUAUUAUAAUGUUUAACUUCCUUUGGCAAUAAAAAGACGGUGUAAUCUGCUUAAAUCUUUAUUUAGUUGUGCUUCUACAAAAAUCAACCCUCUCUAUGAUUAUUAUUUUUUUUUUUUGGCAAAAAACCCUCUCUAUGAUUAUUUAUGUUAAAAUUAUAUCUCAAAUUUGAAUUCAUGAAAGAAAUCCGACUAGAGAUGAAUUGUAAGAAACUAGGUCAAUUAAGGAAAAUCCUAAAGCCGAAUAUUUAAGGACGUCGGUAAUGGAAAUCUAGAUUUCAUAUUUGGUGUGAGAGUCCAAAGUGCAGAUUUGGACCUUAAGUUGCCGAUUCACUAACUCCAACAAAAGGCCAGAACUUGUAGAUUACGAAAAUCAAUUUCCACAUGGGAGUCGGUCAACAUAACAACCGAACAAGAAAGAUCGGAGUUGGACUGGGUUUCCUUCUUCAAUCGGUCAACUUGGCUAUUAUAUACGGAAUAACACCUUGAAAAAUCCAAAAUUGACAUUUAUAGUAUCAGAGCCAGUGGGAAUGUAUAGAUAGUCUUUGUACAUACUCAUAGAUCGAGAGCCAUUCGUUGGCAUCCUUCUUGUUUCUACAGAGUGGUCCAGGCCGUAAAUCCCUGAGUGGCUGUUAGACCGGCUCUGUAACGGUUUUGAAGAAGGGAUAGUUCCGAUCUUAAGUAUGAGCUUACAUAGAAGAUCUACAUCUUCCUCUAGUUCUCUAUCACAUAUGGACUCAGAUCCAAGUCCUAUACAUAGAGAAGAAGUAAGGAUAGAAGAUUUCAACAAAUCUAUAGAAAAUUGGGAAAUUCCUAAAAUACAGCUUAAGGAAAUAUACAAACAAUCAAAAUUGAAAUUUUUCAAAAAAUCAGACUAUGUCAUAACCACUGAAGAAAGAGAUGUUCCUUUUUUCUAAUUCUUAUGAAAAAUACAUCUUUUAAAUAAAGAGUCCAUCCAAAAGCAUAAACAAAAAUACAAUUACAUUCAUAUAGGACUAGUCCAAGUAGGAAUUAAACCUCUUACAAAAUAAGGUCUUAAUGCAUCCAUUCUCUUAGUUUUGCGAGAUUCACGUCUCUUGAACUAUGAUGAAUCCAUCCUUGGUACAGUAGAGACAAGUCUCUACAAAGGACCAAUACAUUUUGAUUGUUAUCCCAAUUUCUCAGUUUAUCUUAAGGAUAAAAAUAUUCUUAAAGCUCUCACACUCCAAAUCAAAACCCAUAAUUACAAAGUAGCAGAUAGAUCCAUUCCUCUAGCUCUUGUCUAUAGAAUCCAUUAUAAAGCCAUGUCCUCCGCCUUUGGAGAAAAUGCUUUUAAACAUAGUCCAAGAGGAGAAACACUUCUCCUCCAGACCGACAUUUCUAGAGCUAAUACAACCAUUCCUAGAUCCAUUAAUUGGAACCAAGUCACUUUACCAGAACAAUGGGAAUUAGAAAACCAAAUUCCUGAAUAGGUUGUUCAAAAUACUAGUCCGACUAAUGUCAUCCAACAUCCAAAAGGAAGAGUGACCAUUAGAUUUCCUAGAAGAUCAUUUGAUUCUAGAUCUAGUCCUUCUUUUCAUACUUCUUAUACAAGGUCGAUAGAUCUUAAUCCCAAUCUUCCGCAUAUAAUCACUAUCCCUCCAAGUACGCAUAGAGACACUCCUCCUCCUAGUAUGCAUAGAGACACCCCCACACGCGAUACAACACAUUUACCUCCUUCCACCAGUAGAAGUAAUCAUGAGACACCACUUGAACCAGAAAUUAGUGGUUUAGAUAAUAUAUCAGGGAUUUCUAGGCCAGUUUACCAACAAAACCAGCCUGAACCAGUCCUAGAAAAUACAAAUUCUCCUCAUUAUUCUCCUACUUAUUCGCAAAUGAUAGAUGCCGAGCUUAAUGUUUUAGAAAAACAUUUUGAACCAAACAAAUUUUUUCUUAAUAAAGAAUUUAAUUCUGAAAACAACAGACAAGUCAGAAAGUGGUUCUUCAAAAUCUUUGCUGAUAAAGCAAAAGACAUCAAACAAAAAUAUUACAACUACGUAUAUGAAUAUGAAGUCCAUAUAUUUUUCUUUGAUUGGUUAGAAGAACAAUUCCUCGAACCAAAAAAAAUAAUUGUUUUAGAUCAUCAUUAUAAGUGGAAACUUGAUAAUGGGGAAAUCAUAGAAUCCAACCAUCCUCCCCUUAGGAGAAUAAAAAUACAACAUGGAGAUAGUGAGGUUACAGCUACACCAUUUAGGCUUCCAGACAAAGGAGACUCUCUUUUCACUCACAAAGUUAUUGAACAAAACAAUUAUACUAAUCAACAUCUGGCAACCAUAGGAAAACAGUUGAAUAGGAUAGAAUCUACCAUCCAGAAUCCUACUCAACUCAUCACACCACAAAUUGAUACACUCAAAAAACCCAUUUUUAAAGCCUUUGAAUUUUUAAAAAAACUUUAGUCCGGAGUUUGCCAAAGCCAUAGAACAAAAUAAAAAACUCCUAAGGAAAUCAACGCUAGAACCUGCUCCUAUACUAGACACUCCUAAAUUCCAAGGACUAAUUAUUAAAGACACCAUGGACGAACCUACUAUUAGCACCCUGACCAAACCCUCUAGUGACUUUGAUAAUGAAUCAGUCUUGCUGAGGUAAACAGACUCAAUUGGAAACAACCCCAAAAACUUUAUUAUAAUAGAGCUACCCCACCUGACAUCGCCCAAGAAGAAUCAUCACAAAAAAUACAGAAUAAAUACUCUCCUGAUGCCAUUUAUGAAUGAAAUAUAGAUGGUAUUGCCGAAAGCAAUAUCAUGAAUAUUUUGAAUAACAUGGCAAUGCUUGCCAAUGCCUACAAAACACAGCAAGAUGUUCUAAUCAUGUUGUUGCUAAUCUUUUAGCAGCCGAAUUUACUAAACAACUAAAAGGUUGGUGGGAUAAAUAUUUGACCGAUGAAUAAAGAAUAUAAAUUUUAACUGCCUAUAAAAUCGAUGACUUUGGCCAACACAUGGAUGAUGAUCAAGGACAUCUCAUCUAAGAUGUAGUGAAUACUCUUAUCUAUUUCAUUUCACAACACUUCAUAGGAGACCCUUCACAUAUUAGAGAUAGGAACCAAGAUCUCUUAUCCAAUAUGCGCUGCAAAUCCUUAGGGAGAUUUAGAGAAUACAAAAAACUCUUCCUUCAAAGGAUUCUUAUUAGACCUGAUUGCAGUCAACCCUUUUGGAAAGAAAAAAUUUUAGCAAGUUUACCCCAAAUUAUAGGUGACCAAGUUAGAGAUAAAAUUAGAGAAGAAUACAAUGGCCAAAUACCUUAUGAUCUUCUUUCUUAUGGAGAAAUAGUCUCUUAUGUUUACAGGCAAGGAACACAAAUGUGUAAUACUAUCAAAUUAUAUAGAUAACUCAAGGAAGAACAAUCUCUCACCAAUAGAAGUCUAGGAGAUUUUUGUGCUCAAUACGAUCCCUCUUAUAAUGAAAAAAACAAAACCAAAAUGUAAGGAAACUUAUCAUUCUAAGAAAGAAACAAAGAAACAUCAGAACAAAUCUCAACCUCGUAGGAAUAAACAAAGACACCAAAAUAACCAAAAUAGACCUCAUACUGAUAGGAAAAAUUUUAAAGACAUUAAAUGCUAUUCUUGUGGUAGAAAAGGUCAUAUUUCAAAAUAUUGUAGGAUUAAUAUAAAAUUAAAUGAACUCUCUUUUGAUGACAAUACUCUUAACCAGUUAAACAACAUCUUCAUAGAAAAUGGUGAUACUUCUUCUGAUGAACUUCUUGAGGAAGAAGGUCUUCAGAUUAAUGAAAUAGAUUCCUCUUCUGACACUGAUUAUGAAAAUGCCUCUCCAGAAAAACCUGUUCCUGAAAUAAACAUGUUAACAAAAGAAGAAGAAUUUCUCCUUAGCACUGCUGAUAAGAUCACUGACCCAGAAGCCAAGAAAGAAUACCUAGAUAGACUACAUUCUUCCUUGAAUAUUACCUCCAACCCCAAUACUUCCUACAGUUUAAAAGACAUUUUGAAUCGAAACAAAAAACCUCAAUCCAGACAUGUUAAUAUAAAUGACCUUCAAAAUGAAAUAAAACAACAAAAAUUAGAAAUUCAAGCCUUGAAAGCAAUACAGUUAGAAAUGAAACAAAAGAUUUCUGACAUAAAAUCCAUUGUCAUAAAAGGUAAGACAAAAUUAGAAGACCAAAACAAAAUCACCAAUACUUCAUAUACGUUGGAUCUAGCCUUUCUUAUGUUAUUAACAGAAAGAACAUCUAGAAAAUGGAUAAUAAAUAUUUUGAUAAAAAUCAACAAUGAUUUUAUUAUUGAAACAACAACACUCUUUGAUACAGGAGCUAAUCUCAAUUGUAUCAAAGAAGGCCUUGUUCCAACAAUAUACUUUGGUAAAACUUCCAAAUCUUUAAAAUCAACCUCAAGAGAUAAACUUAAUAUCCAAUACAAAUUACCAGAAGCCUUAAUAAUAAAAGAUCAAAUGUUUUACAAAACAUCUUUUCUUUUAGUAAAAAAUAUGAGGCAACAGGUAAUUCUUGGAACACAUUUCAUACAAUUAAUCCAACAUUUUACAGUUACUAACGAAGGUAUUGAAACCCAUGCUCUAAACAGAAAAAUCACCUUCAACUUCAUAACAAAACCACAGAAGAGAAGCCUAAAUAUUUUACAAGAACAUUCUAUUUCAGAAAUAAAUUGCCUUAUAAAAGACAAAUAAAACCAACUUGAAUUCUUAAAAGAAGAUUUAGAAUUCAAAAGAAUAGAAGAAAAUCUUAUAAAACCAAACAUCAUAGAAAAGAUAGCUUCCCUACAAAAACACAUAGAAAAGACUAUAUGCUCUACUCUACCCAAUGCCUUUUGGGAAAGAAAGAAGUAUAUCGUUGAUUUACUUUAUGAACAAGAUUUUUCUGAAAACAAAAUACCUACCAAAGCUUGCCCAACACAAAUGAAUCAAGAAGUUUUGAAAUUCUGUCAAGCAGAAAUACAAGAUCUCUUGAAUAAAAAAAUUAUAAGAAAAAGCCAAUCACCAUGGAGUUGUUAUGCUUUUUAUGUCAAUAAAAACGCUGAACUAGAAAGAGUUCCCAGGUUAGUUAUUAAUUAUAAAUCUCUUAAUACAACCCUUAGGUGGAUAAGAUAUCCUAUACCCAAUAAAAAAGAUUUGCUAAACAGACUUCGUAGAUCAAAAAUAUUUUCAAAAUUUGACAUGAAGUCAGGAUUUUGGCAAAUACAGGUUAGUAAAAAGGAUAAAUACAAGACAGCCUUUACAGUUUCUUUUGGCCAAUAUGAAUGGAAUGUUAUGCCAUUCGGCCUCAACAAUGCCCCUUUAGAAUUCCAAAGAAUUAUGAACGAGGUUUUCAAUCCUUAUUCAGAUUACAUCAUAGUUUAUAUAGAUGAUGUUCUAGUAUUCUUUUCCAAUAUAGAACAGCAUUUCAAACAUUUAGCUACUUUCAUAAAAAUAAUCAUACAAAACGGUCUUGUAGUCUCUCCUACUAAAAUUGCACUCUUCAAAACCAAGAUUAGAUUCUUAGGUCAUUACAUUCAUUUAAGCACCAUCACUCCUAUAGAAAGAUCAAUCUCUUUUACUGAUAAAUUCCUAGAUGAGAUUAAAGACAAAACUCAAUUACAAAGGUUUUUGGGUAGUCUCAAUUAUAUUUUAGAUUUCUUUCCCAAUAUAAAUAUUCUUUGUUAACCUUUACAUAAAAGGUUAAGUAAGGAUCUUUACCAAAAAAAAGGUUAAGUAAGGAUCCUCCACCCUGGACCUCUGUCCAUACAGACAUUGUCAAACAAAUAAAAAUGCAUGUGAAAGAUAUACUAUGCUUACACCUUGCUAACCCUUCCACUUUCAAAAUAGUUGAAACAAAUGCUUCAGAAUUAGGAUAUGGUGGCAUUCUCAAACAAGUUAAUAAUAACAAAGAACAAGUUGUUCAGUUUAUAUCAAAAUAAUGGAAUUCCACUCAACAAAAUUAUUCGACAAUCAAAAAAGAAAUGCUUGCUAUAGUUUUGUCUAUAUCAAAAUUCCAAUGAGAUUUAUUAAAUCGAAAAUUUCUCUUGAGAAUUGAUUGCAAAUCAGCCAAAGACGUUUUACAAAAAGACGUUUUAAAUAUUGCAUCAAAACAGAUUUUUGCCAGAUGGCAAGCCAUACUUUCAGUAUUCGAUUUCGAAAUUGAAUUUAUAAAUGGUUCUUCAAAUUUAUUACCUGAUUUUCUCACAAGAGAAUUUUUACAGGGGAUACAAUCAUGCCAAGAUCCAAAAAAGACAAAGGCAAAGGCAAAGCCAUUGCCAAAACCUCCUCCAAUACACCACCAAAGCCAACAGGUUUGACAAACAUCAAGACAUGGCUCCAAAUGGCAGAAAAUAACCAGACAUUCUACAAUAACACCAAACACCUUUGAAAAUAGAACCCAUAUCAUCUGAACCCAUGAUAACCUUUAAUCAGCUAGCAAACAUACUACCAAAAGAAACAAUUUGUUACUUGCCCAGUCUUUACAAAAAAAACAGUAAAGAAAGAACCAUCUAGUACCAUCGAGGUAAGCAACAAUCCUUCUCCACUUACUACACAAAAACAAGUGGAAAACAAAAGAAUUUCGAAUGAGGUGGUCAUUAGGCCACAGGCAACCCCUUAUUCUCAAAGAUCAAAAUUUUUCCCCAAAAGAUCUUUUCAAAAAAUACUGACUGUAGAAGAUGGAUUUAACGAUGAAAAUCCAAACAAAUUCGCAAAAAACAUCUUCCCAAAAAACUGGUUUUUCAAACCACACAAUGCAAACAAAACUCUUGCUUAUUGUGAGCAAAUCUUAGUGAAGACAGAAUUAGUAAGGUUUACUCACUUUGCUGACAAAAACAAUACAGAAAACAUUCUAUACUCCACUAUAUCCAUCAGUAAAGUCAUUCACCCCUUACACCGAUGAUAUUCACCUCAUACACCCAAAAAAUUCCAAACUAGACUUACCCAAAUCCUACCAUAUUCCUCCUCGUAUACCUACUGGGACUACCAACAAGCCUGGUGAAAUGUCUUCUAUAGACAAAAUACAAAUUUCCAGCAUACCUGUCUAGUAUUCUUCAAAAACAACUUCCCAAGACAAAGCCUACCAAAUUGGUUCAGCUCCUGGUGGGAGUUCUUUGAUCCUUUGGACAUCAUACUACACCCCACAGUCAAUCAAGGAUACCAAACAUUUUGUAAACAUUUUGUACCAAAUCAACAUGAUUCAAGGUUUCAAUGCCUUAUGCAUUUCUUCAUAAUAUUUAAAAUAUCAUGGGUAACAGCUUGGGAGUUUGAAUAUAUUACAUCCAUCGAUUUAAUACCAAUUCUCGUCCAAAAAUACAAGACCAAAUGAUGGGAUGGAUUCAAUAGACAUGAACAAGGAUCUGAGACUGUGGUUAUGACAUGGCUAAAUAGCCAGAAAAAUCAAACAACCACAGUCCCAUCAAAUACAUAUUUUUUACAAGAAAAAUCCAAGUGUAGCACUGGCUGCAGUCCAGAGCAAGGAGGAAUACCACAACAUCCUCAGAACAAUGCUUUCUAAAGCGGAAGGAUCACAAUGUGGAUCUUUCAAAUCUCAAGACAAUCCAGACGGAUUCUCAUAGUCACAUUACAGUGGAAACACCAGUGAAGACGACUGCUACGAGAUCAACAUAGACAGAGAUUAAAAUUAAAGACAUCACAUGCCGGCACUGUUACAGCGGCGCAAAUGCUAUACACUGUAGCAAGAUAGGCAUACACUGUUCAUACAUUGUUCACUAUUCACUAUUUACUUUAUACUGUUCACUCAAUACUGUUCACUUUACACUGUUCAGCAUUGUAGCACUUUUACUGUAGCACCCAUUAUAAAUACACCCUCUCGACACAAGAGGAAGGGACUCGAAAUUUUCCAGAUUUCUCUCCUUUUCCUUCCUCUCUCACUUGUAAACCAUCAUCUCUUCCAUCUUCACCCUCAUCUCUUCCAUCUCCAAGCUCUCUUACCUUGUAUCCCUUGGUUUCAAAGUAAGUUAGGUUUUCAUAUACAUAGUUUUAUACAAGGUUACCAACUUACAUGAUAGUUGGUUAAUCAUUUCUUGUAAUACAAACAUCAAUACUCCCUGGAGUGUGGAUUACCGCCCUAGUGAAUGACUUGAUACUUUAGUUUCUGCAUCCUUCAAUACAUGUAAUUUCAGCUUUUCAGCUUUAUAUAAUACAAGUUCAUACCACCUUCAUGGUUGGUUUUUGUUCAUGCAUACUCUUACUUUAUAUUUUAUAUAUUGCCUUUGGUCUUUACAUUAUUUUUAAUUCUCACAAUUUUAUUUAAGUUUUUAUACAUUCUUCAUACAUUCUCUGUUUUUAUAGAUCUGUUAAUCUCUUAUACUUCCUUGUUCUCUCAUAUAAUACUCCGAUCAUAACAAAUUUACCAAAAUCUAAAUUUUUGACCAUAAAAAAUUCAAAUUUGUACACCUAUGAUAAAUUUACCUUAAAGAAAUUUUUUAACCAUAAAAAAUCCUAAACUAGCAUGUCCUUCGUAAAUAGAGAGUAAAAUCCCAAACUGAUACAACAUUAAUUGACAAAUGUCAUUCAAUUUAACAAUUUGAUGAUAAAAUUUGAAGGAAAUUAAUGGAGGGUAAAUUUGUUAUAAGUAUAUCAAAGUUUUAGAUAAAUUUAUUACAAGUGAACCGGUUCAUGAUUUAUUAUGAAAUUACCCUAUUCAUAAAUAUACAAUUGUGGAUUGCUCGUUGGUUAUGAAGAAAUAUUAAAGUGUAGUUUUUAGUGAAUGUCAAGGGAAGUUCUAUAUUCGUUAGUGACGGCCAAUUGGCACUGGAGGUUUGUGAUGUGGACAUCGAGUCAUAUCGAGGAGGAGGUGCUAGGGACCCAUUGUCUAUUCCUACUGGUUCGAUUACUCGAGCGCGGGCCAAACAAUUCAAGCAAGCUGUUGGCGUCAUGGUUCGUGAUCUUUGGCGUGAAGAUGACCUUGGAUCAAAUCUUGAAGAAUCUUGGAAAUCUUGGUGCAAUUUAAUUAUCUUGUCACCAAAUAAUUGACCAAGUCAAUUUAUAUAUAUAUUCUUGUUUAAGAAUAUUCUAAAAUAGGAAUAUUUUAGAAUAUAUCGCAUUAGAUUUUUAGGGUUGGUUUUUAGGGUUUGUGUGGCAGCCUAUAUAAAGGAUUUGCCAAAUUUCUUUGAGGACGGAAGAUAUUUUUAUGUUUGAGGAAAAGAAUUGAGAGGUUCUCUUUUUACUGUUCUUUUGAGGACUUGACCUAAUCAAGAUUCUCUUGUGGCGGUCAAUUUGACUUAUCAAGCGAGAUAGCGAAUUCUUUCGCUCGUGGCGUCUAUAACGUUGGUUGGUUGACACGUGUUCGUCAACAGGUCACGUUCAUACCGAGGUUGCCAAUCACGGGUUUGAUUGGAGGUCGAGGUUUGCAAUUCGCACCAUCUGGGCCUUCGUAGAACGAUCCUUCCGCAACGAUUCACAUCAGUUUGGUAGUGGGUUCUUCAUGGAAUAACAUUAAUAGCUUAUGUGUUGGACUCAAUUAAAUCUUGUGAGGAUCUAUUUAAUUCCUUUUUGAGACUGAGAGAUUAUUUCGUGAGGAAUUAUAAGACUAAAUACUACAUGAAUUAUUGAGCAUAAUUGGAGAUUGGAAAACAUGAGAGUGUUUGAGUAACUUUGAGUUUGGUUGUAAUUUUCAUUGAAUUGCUUGAUCAAGAGUGGAAUUCUUUGCUGCUCUCUCCAUGGACAUAUGUCACAUCAACAAAAUUAUUUAAAUUUGGUGUCCAGUUUAUUUUCUUAUUUUGUUUAUUUUAUUGUUCGAUUAGUUAGAUUCCACAAUAAUUUAAAAGAUCAAGGCAUUGAUAAACAGUCUCUCUACUUUUGCUCAACAAUCAAACUCAUUCUUUUAAUUUCUUUUGAGGAAAAAAAUCACAAAAACUCCAAAUUUUGUCGACUAUGAUACAUUUACUCUAAACUAUUUUUAGUGACACCAAAAACUCUAAAUUUAUACUCGUGUGACACAUUUACCCUAAAAAAAAAAUUCUAUAACACCAAAUUUUUUGGGGUUAAUAUGUCACAUCAUACAAAUUUGAAGUUUUAGGUGGCACAUUAUAUAAGUUUAGAGUAAAUAUGCAAAAUAAGUAUGAAUUUGGAGUUUUUGGUGUCAUAAAAUAAGUUUGGAAUAAAUAUAUCACAAUAAAUAUAAUUUAGAGUUUUCGGUGAUUUUACAUUUCUUUUUAUUCGAAACCGUUCUUGCACUUAAGUGCCAUUGGUUGUCGUUGUGUUGGAACACUAUUACCUAUUUUCUGACUUGAAUUUUUAUUUUAUUUGUUGAGGAUUUUUAUUUCUUCCUCCAAAUGUAGCCUGUCUCUCCUUUUAAGGUCCUUCAUUUUACAAAAACAAAAACCCACAAAAUAUAUUGCCUAUACUAAUGCAAAAACACUACUAUUUGUAUCGACUCACAACAAACAAUUGAUUAGCUAUGGGUCGUGAGCUCCGUGGCUCAUGAAUUGAGCAAAUAUGACUGCUACAAGAUCAAAGCUCAUGCGCAACGCCACGAGCUCAAAGAUUAAGUAGCCAUGGCUCAAGCUUUGUGACUCAAAUAGACAUCGUGCCCAUGGCCAUCUGCGAGCUUGAGCUUAAUAGCCAUGGCCAAUGCUAACUUAGAGUUGGCAUUGGCCAUGGCUAACUUAAUGUUUAUGUUGCCUAAUUUAGCACCUGUUUUUCCUAAAAUAAUUAUAUGAGUAGAGUACCACACAAUAGGUACGCUGGCAUCUUGUUCAUAAAAAUUGAAUGGCAAAGUAUAACAAAAUGAUUAGUGGUGAUACUUCUAAGGGAAAAAGCCACAAAAAAAAGGGAUAAGUACACUAAUGGUGACAUAAGUUGUGUACGGCGCUCACUUUGAUGCCAAAAGUUUCCGUCGGAUCAUUUAAGUGCCAAAAAAUUUGAAAAAUGCUCACUUUGGUGCCAAUGCCGAUCUGAUCGGCCAAAAAUUUGACGUGACAUUUUUUUUUAUUAAUUUCUUAUGCUGAUGUGGCUCGCCGGAGUUUCCAUUGGAUCACUUAGGCCUUCAAACGACGUCGUUUUAGCAUCCUAACACCAAAACGACGCCGUUUUGUGUCGUCUUCUUCCCCAAACAGAUCCAGCAACACCAACAGCGCCGAACCAGCAACGCCAGCAGCGCAGAACCAACAACACCAGUAAUUUUCCAAAAAAGAAACCAUGCAUUCGCCUCCGCCCUCCCCCAGUAGUUUUCCCCCAUUUUCAAUCACCUUAUCAACCUUUCAAAUCCUCGAAUCUCGACCCCACCACCGCAUUUUCCCAAGGAAUAUCGUUGGGUGCAGAGGAAACGCGAGCUCGAAGAAUCUCUAGAAGCACGAGCGAUCCGGCCAAUGGUAACCGCGAAGAUCUGGAACGUCACAGAGGUUAUCAGCGAAGCUAGUUGCUACGAAGGCGGCGGCCGUGGGCCCCCCAUCCCCUCCUCUGCCCUCAUUGUCGACACCUCCCUCUCUCUCGGGAUUUUCUAUUCAUUUUUUUUGUUUCUUUUGUCUUGUUGUGGCAAGCAACUAUCAUGGAGGUCGAGGGAUGGUGGUUGAGCGACGGUGGUCGAGGGACGGCGGCCAAGUGACAGUGGCCGAGGGACGGCAGCCAAGCGACGGCGGCCGAGCGACGGCGGACAAAAAAACCCUAAUUUCAAUCUCCAAAUUAAAAAAGAAAGGCGUCGUUUUUACGAGGCUAUCCACGUAGGACAGCAAAACGACGUCAUUUUCUUAAGGAAGAUGGAAAACGACGUUGUUUAAAAGGCUUCUUGAUUUUUUUUUUAAAUAUAAAAGCCACGUAAUCAUUUUGGUCGGAAUUUGUCGUCGGCGGCACCAAAGUGAUCGUUUUUUCUCCGAUUUGACACUUAAGUGAUCCAGCGGAAACUUUUGGCACCAAAGUGAGCGCAGUACACAACUUAUGGCACCAUUAGUGUACUUAUCCCACAAAAAAAUUUCGAACUUUAUUAACCGUGACACAUUUAUUCCAAUUUUUUUUGUAACAUCAAAAAUCCCAAACUCGUACACGUGUAGUAAUACAUUUACCCAAAACUUUUUUUUUCGACACCAAAAAGCCCAAACUUAUACUUUUGUUACAUCAAAACCCUAAACUUUUGUUUUGUAACAUCAAAAACCCCAUACUUAUAGUCAAGUCACACAUCUACCCCAAAAAUUUUGUGUCAUAGAAAAAAGUUUGAGGUAUUUUGUGUCACAAAAGAAAAGUUUGAGGUUUUUUAUGUCACAAAACAAAAGUGUGGAGUAAAUGUGUGACACUGUAAUAUUUUGAGACAAAUGUGUCACAUAGGUAAAAGUUUGGGAUUUUUAAUAUUACAAAAGAAAAGUUUGGGAUUUUUAAUAUUACAAAAAAAAAGUUUGGGGUAAAUAUUUCACAAAUGUCAUAGUUUAUGGCUUUUACCAUACUUUUAAAUAGCAGAGAGAUACUUUAAAAAAAGUAGAGGGGAUUUUGAUUUUCAGGCUAAAAUAUAAGGCCCACCAGUAAAUCUAAUCCCAUAAAGAAAGUGGCAUAUGUAUAGGAAUUGAUAAAACAGUAAAAGAUUAUAAUGGACACAGCGCCAAGUACCAAUCGCUCCAAGUCCAACUAGAGAGGUCUCUUCACGCCAACAUCUAUGGCCACGACAAAGUCUAUAAGGUUUUUCCAGUAAAGGCACACAACCAUGAUGUUACAUAUAUAUGAAUUGGGGAAAAAAAAUCAAUGCGUUGCUCUAGAGUUUAGUCCCUUGACGAACAGGUCAGCUCAGCAUGCUUGGAACGAGCACAUUUUGUUGAAGAUACUGACCUCUAGUCUACCUUAGACAAGAGUAAGGACCAUAAGAAUAUUGGACAAUGCUACAUGAAAAUCAAAUCUUGUCGGUCCAGCUUUUCAAAUAUAUGAAUGACUUUGACACUUGGAUUUGUUCCUUUGUUGUUGACUGAUGCUGGUAAAACUAUGUUUAAAGUCCUUGAUCACUCAAGUAUCUGAUGUCGAGUUUGAGUGUUCUCAUUGCAUGUUAUUCCAGUGUAUGACGAGGACAUGUCCAAGUUGCACCACUAGCGUCUUCUUCACUCCGGGAUAUGCCCAUCCUUGUCCACUGGAUGAUGCCUGCUUCAAUGCUUCUAUCUAUGUACUCCAUGACAAUGCGCUAGUCUCAAUUGAAGUUUCCACACGGUACUUUGCGCGUUUCUUGACCCGUUCUUCAUUGAGAUCUCUUUCCUCGCCCUUGCUCGGAGCACAAACGGGUAUAUAUACUUUUCCCUGUGAAUCUUGUUUCUACACCUGUCAGCUCGAACCCUAUAUGGUACAGCCAUGGAUAGCAAAAACGGUAGUCCGUGGUGGUUCAUGCUCCCAAUUUUCUUGCUUUGCUCAUCUCUGUACACCCACCUCUGUCUUGGCACAGACAAGCUCGAUGCGAAUCGAUCUAUAUCUGGUAAUCAAACCUUAACCUCCUUGAGUGGCAACUUUACGCUUGGCUUCUUCUCGCCGGGUAACUCCACGUACUCCUACAUAGGCAUCUGGUACAACAAAAUCAGCGUGCAAACCGUCGUCUGGGUCGCCAACCGAGACAACCCUAUCACUGACAAGCAAUCCACUGAGCUGAAGGUCUCGGGUGGCAAUCUUGUGAUUGUUAACAACUCCGAAGUCCCCGUUUGGUCCACGAAUCUGACUACUACUUCAUCUGGAUCGAGCUCCAUGGUGGCGGUUCUUGACGACGAUGGCAACUUCGCUCUCAAAGUGGCGCCGAAUUCUUCUGUGACUCUGUGGCAGAGCUUUGAUUACCCGACGCACACGUGGCUUCCCGGUGCCAAAUUAGGGAUCGACAAGCGCAAAAACAGGAGUCAGAUCUUGACAUCAUGGAAGAACGCCGAGGACCCUUCGACAGGUUUGUUCUCUCUCCAUCUCCAGACAUUCAGUGACGGUAAGUACUACGUAUGGUGGAAUGGGUCUAACCCUUACUGGACUAGUGGGACGUGGGACAAUCAGACGAAAAUUUUCUCUGGUGUCCCUGAAAUGAGAGAGAACACUUUUUACGAGUUAAAAUAUGUGGACAAUGAGAACGAGAGCUACUUCACCUAUUCAAACAAAAUCUCCUUCAACACCAUAUCAAGGUUUGUUAUGGACCUUUCUGGGCAGAUCAAGCAGGAGUCCUGGUUGCCUUCCCAGGCGUGGACCUUGUUCUGGUCUAAGCCCUCACAACAAUGCGAUGUGUAUAGACUUUGUGGGCCUUUCAGUGUUUGCAGCGAGCAGAGCGAAGAUUCGUGCAGCUGCUUGCCGGGAUUUAGCAUAAGCUCUCCAAUGGAUUGGAAUCGGAGGGAUUGGUCUGGUGGUUGCAAGAGGAAUUCCAACUUAAAUUGUGCAGCGAAUGCGGAGAAAGACCGUUUCUGGCCUAUGUCUAACAUGAAAUUGCGUGAUGCACCUCAAUCUUUAGUUGCUGGGAGCGAUCAGGAAUGCCGAACUGCUUGUUUGAGCAAUUGCUCUUGCACGGCUUAUGCUUUCGAGGAUAAUGCCUGCUCAAUCUGGAUCGGGGAUCUCUUCAAUGUGGAACAGCUCAAACAAGGCACUACCCCUGGAACGAGUUUCUAUGUUCGGCUUGCUGCCUCCGACAUUAAGGAUCCCAGCAAGAAGAGUAAUGUAACUGCAAUAGUGGCAGGGUCUGUUAGUGCCAUGGUAGGGAUAUUCGCCAUUGUCUCGUUUGCCGUUUGGAGAUGGAGGAGAGGGGCAACUGUAACCACAAAAGAAGUGGAGGGUUCACUGAUAGCCUUUGCAUACCGGGACUUGCAAGUAGCAACAAAGAAUUUCUCAGAGAAGUUGGGUGGGGGUGGGUUCGGUUCAGUUUUCAAAGGAACAUUACCUGAUUCAAGUCACAUAGCGGUCAAGAAGCUUGAAAGCAUAAGCCAAGGUGAGAAGCAAUUCCGAAUGGAAGUAAGCACAAUCGGCACUAUCCAGCAUGUGAAUCUUGUCAGGCUUCGCGGAUUCUGCUCUGAAGGUGACAAGAGGCUGUUGGUCUACGAUUUCAUGCCAAAUGGUUCCUUAGACUAUCAUCUCUUUCAUAGAAACGACUCGAAGACCUUGGAUUGGAAAACGAGGUACCAAAUUGCUUUGGGAACGGCUCGAGGUCUGGCUUAUCUCCAUGAGAAGUGCAGAGAUUGCAUCAUACAUUGUGACAUCAAGCCAGAGAACAUCCUUCUAGAUGCUGACUUCUGUCCAGAAGUGGCAGAUUUUGGCCUGGCAAAGCUUGUUGGCCGAGAUUUCAGCAGGGUGUUGACAACCAUGAGAGGCACAAGAGGGUAUCUUGCGCCAGAGUGGAUCUCUGGAGUGGCCAUAACAGUAAAAGCCGAUGUUUAUAGCUAUGGGAUGAUGCUUUUUGAGUUUGUGUCGGGAAGGAGGAACUUAGAGCUAUCGGAAAAUGGGGCCAUCGAGUUCUUCCCAACAUGGGCUGCUAGCAAGAUAGCUGAAGGAGGUGACCUGCUUGAUCUUUUGGACCCAGACUUGGAGAAAAACGCUGAUACUGAAGAGCUAAAUAGGAUAUGCAGAGUUGCUUGCUGGUGUGUCCAAGAUGAGGAAACUCACAGGCCAUCGAUGGGGCUGGUUGUUCAAGUCCUCGAGGGGUUGUUGGAUGUGAACCUGCCCAGGAUACCGAGAGCCCUUCAAAUGCUUCUUGAUAAUCAGGAGCAUGUAGUUUUCUUCACUGAGUCGUCAUCAUCGAACCAGAAUUCCCAGACGAAUAGUAAUACCUCAACUUCUUCCUUGCAGAACCCAAAUAGUUCAUCUUCG
rnacentral:lncRNA from 1 species